rnacentral:lncRNA from 1 species
GCGUAAGUAAAGGAUCUAAAAGAAAACAUCAUCUACAUGGGUCAAGAGUUCGACAGAGCUAAAUCGAUCUCCUCAAGGUGUUUGACUGGUGUGAUCAAUUGCAAGCCUACCAUACGAUUCAUGGAUUUGACAUUGAGGAGCCCCACUAGGUUCAGCUGUAUGACGGUGACAUUUCAGGAAGGGGAAAGGGGUUUGUAGAGAGAGAGAAAGAGAGAGGUGGUGAUGGAUCACCUAAUGAGCUCCUUCUGCAGGGCGCCUCCUUCCUUGGUCCUCCUGUGAGAGGUUGCACCGAAGCCGGUGGUGACACCAUAGCUGUCGGUCCCGUUGGUCAUGCUGUCGGUCACCCACUGGCUGCUGGCGCGCACUCCCUCCCUGGCGGACUCCGACAGCUCCACCCUCACCGCCGAGUGCGGCGCCAUGGCGACCGCCGCCACCUGAGAGAUCUUGAGCGUCGCGCCCUCGAGCCGCACCAGCGGCCGCCGGAACUCCUCCACCAUCCUCUUGACCUCGUCGAGGUGGCUCCCCGUCAGCGCCUCGGCCGCGGCGCCCCAGUUGAGGGGGUCGGCCUUGACGCAAAGCCCGUCGGCGAAGCCAUUGCCGUGGACUCCGUUCUCGACCUCCAUCGAUCGAAGAACAAGGGGUGUCAGAAGACCAGAACGUAGGAGGAGGAGAGGCAAAGCUAGAGAGCUCGAAGAGGGAGUCGGUGAUCCUUCUCCUGAGGAAGGAAGGAGGUCAAGGCAGAGCUUAAAUAGAGACGCUUGUGGUGUCGUGCGGAGUUGGGUGGCUGCAACAAGGAAGGUGGGUUAGUUGGCUUAAGAUUUGGUCCAUUGGAUCAACCGACACCGACGGUGAGAUAUCACGUGACUCUCUCCUGUCAAAGAUGAAGUCCGAGGGGUUGGUGGCAACCGAUGCAAGCAUGCCAUCAUCUUCCUCACCAUUUCUCCCCCCAAUAUUUCUCUUCUCAUUUCUCCAUUGCAACUCCUCAGCUAAUUCUAACCNNNNNNNNNNNNNNNNNNNNNNNNNNNNNNNNNNNNNNNNNNNNNNNNNNNNNNNNNNNNNNNNNNNNNNNNNNNNNNNNNNNNNNNNNNNNNNNNNNNNNNNNNNNNNNNNNNNNNNNNNNNNNNNNNNNNNNNNNNNNNNNNNNNNNNNNNNNNNNNNNNNNNNNNNNNNNNNNNNNNNNNNNNNNNNNNNNNNNNNNNNNNNNNNNNNNNNNNNNNNNNNNNNNNNNNNNNNNNNNNNNNNNNNNNNNNNNNNNNNNNNNNNNNNNNNNNNNNNNNNNNNNNNNNNNNNNNNNNNNNNNNNNNNNNNNNNNNNNNNNNNNNNNNNNNNNNNNNNNNNNNNNNNNNNNNNNNNNNNNNNNNNNNNNNNNNNNNNNNNNNNNNNNNNNNNNUAUAUAUAUAUAUAUAUAUAUAUAUAUAUAUAUAUAUAUAUAUAUAUAUAUAUAUAUAUAUAUAUAUAUAAAGGAAAAUAUAUUUUUGGAGAUCCACAUUAAUAAAGCUCCUUCUGGUUGCCAUGUUCAUGUGAGGGGAAGUCAGACAGAGAAUUAAAUAGGAGAGUUAGAUCAGCAGGACGGCAGAGUGCAUUUGUUUAUGCUGAUAAUAACAACUAUGAUCAUGUCCAAAUGUGCAUACUUUAAGCAAGAGUUUAUAAAAGAAAUAUUUAUGUCAUGUUCUUCUCGAUCUGAGACUUUUUCCUAAGCCAUGAAACAAAUCUCGGUUAAUUUACAACACUUCAAAAUAUGUGCAGUAAAAUAAGUUGAAGUUGUCAUCAAGUGAUGAUUCAAGCAGUCAAACAGGGAAGCACUUUCUUGAUAGCUUCCCUUUUUGUAAUUAGCUCUAAUUCACAAUCUAUAUUCUUCCACUCGAUGGCAAGAUUUGAAUUUGUUGUCUUUGUGAUCAUGUAGACCAUGUAAAACUUGAGAUCCAUCUGAAGUAACCAUGAACAAUUGACAUUGUCAAUCAUAUGUCACCAAUUAUAUGCAGCAGCAAUAUGACUCAGUCCAUAGUGAUCACAGCUGGAAUGAAAAUGGCAUGUGGAGAGGAUGUCCAUAUAAUUUAUGGUGUAACAUGAUCUGAUCAAACAUGAAGAUUGUCAGCUCUGAGAGGCAAAGAACAUGGAAAUCGUGAGGAUGAUAGGUCCAAUGAAGGCUUUGUCGAUCGGAGAAAACUAUUGGAGAAGAAAUUUCAGCAAUUGUUCAACCACCACACAGGUCAGCAUCCUCACCAACCUCUGUCCUCUAAUGGAUUAGGUAUGAAACAGCUGCCUAAUUGCCUUGGCAAUGGAGGGGGCACCACAAAGAAGGUGGAAUCCAAUUUCUCAAGCAUAGAACAAAGGAACAGUACAUUGAAGUUUCUCCCACUAGACUUAGACUUCCAAGCUCAAGUUUUCUGACUCAAAUCUUCCACAAGAGUAGCUGAAUUGAAGAUGUAUGUCGUCUAUUUUGGAUUUUGACUGGGCUUGUAAGAGUAGAUGAUAGGAAUCCAGCCAUUAGAUACUCAACAUGACGAAAGGCGACCAUGAGCAGACCUUGGCUUGCAGGUGCAGACUGUGGGACACGACAAAUCGUUGGCCACGAGGUGGUUCAUCUUUUGAUGCUUGAUUUGUUUCGGAGAUGGCAUUUGCUCAAACAAGAAGAAGAAGAAGACGAAGAAGAAAGGAGGAAAGGAAGCAACAUCAGCUUCAGUCAGCUGGUCACAACCUACAGUUCAUUCACGAGGCAUGAUCCGAACUUCCUGUCGAUCCAACCUUGCGGCCAUUGUCAAGUGUGAGAAAGUUGGAGUUUGGUGUGGAAUGCUCUUCACCAACCAUCUCUCUCUCUCUCUCUCUCUCUGUCACACACACACCCACCCAACCACCCACCCACCCACAGAGAAAAAGAGUAUACUAGCGGCAGCUGCGCUUGUCAGCUUGCCAUUAACGAGUUCUGUCUUUACUGUAGUGAGGAUGAGUUGCCACGAGAAGAGAAUGGGAGAUGACAGUGUGGCAGAAAUUGGUUCACACGUCUCACCAACCCAAAUGGUGGAGGAGAUGUGCUCGAUCUGGCCCUUACAUGGACGAGUUCAGCUCCACGUACGUACAUGCUCUCAGACAUCGGUCAUGAACAAUGGAACAGUGUCUUUCCUCUCCUCUAGUUUGCUGACCUUUUCAUCUGCUACCAAACACCCUUCUUCUGAUCGAGCAGGCUCCAUUUAUCAGCCAAUUUUUAGAUGUUUUGGACAAGGCAGUGCAUAAGCAGACAUGCCCUGUCUUCUUCAAGACCGGACGGAGUGCAUCCACCAGAAUCGAUGCCAGUCAAGGAAGAGAACUCCAAAGCAAACGAUGAGUGGUUCAUGCAACCUCACCUAAAUCUACCAACACACAGCUUGGAUAUCCAUGCAAGUAGAGGCUACGAAGAGUUUGUUGUUAUUGUUGUUGUUGCUGCUGCUGCUCCUACUGAUGAUGCUGUAGUUUUCAUUCAAUCGAAACGUGUGUUCCUUACAUCCAUGAACAAGGCAUGGUAGCUGAAACAUUGAUGUCGGCAACUCCAACCCCAUUUAAAUUGCCAUCAGAAUGAUAGGAAUAUGUGUGUGGGAUAGUUUAAGAUCAACCUUCGAGUCUUACUGCAAUGUUCAUCUGUAGGACUAAUCCUGCAGUAGUGCAUUGGAUUACUUCCAGGAAUCAAAUGCAAGGUCAAACAAAGUUGCUGUGGAAGGGAAAGGGAGGGUUUUCCUGAGCAUGCAUACAGAUUGCAAGCUUUCUAUUUUGCCCAACCUGAAAUUAAAGGGAAAACAAAUUUGAUGUUUGGUUGAAAGUGACUGAAAUUUAGUAUGUUGUUUUCAGAGUUCUGACAAUUCUGAUCCAAAUCAAUAAUCUCCAAAUCUGUAGAAUUCUUUAAUAGAAAUAUAGCUGAGGCACAAUCUAAAUUCUUAUUUGAAAUAGAUGAUUUACAUAAAAGCUCCAAUCCAAAAGUCUUAUCGACACAUCAUCACAUGGUUUGCAAGCAGCAGCAGCAGCAGCAGCACCUCCUUUUUGCUUUUGCUCCAAUUCCACCAUCUUUAAGAGAUCAACAUCCCUAUGAUUGCAGAGCUUCCACCAACAAAGAAUGUUGACCUCAAACAACUGGAAAAAAGGCAGACAAUGAACACACUGGAUAAAGUGAGCUGAGGACAUGAAGAGCAAAGAAACUUUGGUGAGCUUGGAAUAGAAAUGUUUCUUCUAGCUUUAAACAAACAUCAUGCCAAAAUCCAGAGCAUAUGCCAAGUACUAAAGUAGCUACUCAUUUCUGGAGAUUGUUUCUGAGAAUGUUAUUCUAGAUCAUUUAGUGAACUAAUGAUGAGGAACAAUUGUUUGCAGGUGAAAUGCCCCAUGACAAAUCUUGUCUGCUUUACUUCAAGGAAUCUUUCUGUCAGUUGGUAGAACACUGACAAACUCCAGGUAUGAACAAGCAUGUAGAAUAUGAUAAAGAGGUUGAACAAGUGCUCAGUAGCAAAUGAAGUAAAAAAUAAUAAUUAUUAUUAUCUCUCUCAAAAAUAAGAAGAGAAAAAAAUAUCAAACUUAAAUUUAGCUAUUUUACCGAAUCGGAUCUUAUGAACUUUCUUUUACAAAAAUAUAAAGAAAUCUCCAUUACAUUAAUAUGAGACUUAUCAAUUAUGUAAUAAUAUACUAACCAAUCCAAUAUGUCAGAAGAGACAUAUAUAUGACUUUAUGGGAUAUUAUGAUAUUAUAAAAAAAUCUUUCAAAAAAAUUUGAGGAAGAACAUUCACAUGCGAAUAUAAACAAGAAAUUUAAAGUAUAUUUUUAGAUUCUUGAUGUUUACAUACUAUCUAAAGAUAAGUAUUACCACACUUUAGUGGUCAAACAUAUAAAUGCAUAUUCCUAAUAAUGGCUUGGCAAUUAUCUCAAGAUCAUAAUGCAAUAAUUUUAGGAAGAAAAUUAAACAUACAUACAUGAAACUUGCCCAAAAGAAAAUAGGAGAGAAGAAAAUUUACCUGGAAGUAAGUUGAAAAAUGAUCCAAACCAGAAACAGGAGAAAUAAGUCUAACUGGAGUCAAGAAAGUCCAUGAUCAUAUUGUAAAACAAGAAACAAGCUAAAAGAAACUCAAAAUAAAAAAAAUAAAGUAAGAAUUAAAUUUGAAAAUAAGUCAAGAAGAAGAAGAAAAAAAAGAGCUAAAAUGAAUUUAGUUAUGGCUGAAUGGUCAAACACUUUUGUUUUUUUUAGUAUGACAAGGAAAAAAGAAGAGGAGAUUUGUAGAAUCGAUCGAUAGGCUAGUGAAAAGCUAAGCACAAAUCCUUAGCUCAUGUAAUGAUCUCCAAAAUAAAAUGAUAUGAUCUUUCUUUUCUUCUUAUGCAUAUUAUAUAUACAACUACUUGAUCAUCUCUGCAUGUUUUCUCUCUUCAGAUUCGCUCAUUAGACUAAUAAUUGAGCUGCUUGUCCACCACAUCCGUCCCUUAAACAUAUAUUAGACAGAGAGAACUGUAAUCCACAAACAACUAUUUGUAUCAGCACCCAAACCUGGAAGAACUGCUACUACUAAAACCUUAAGAGAUGAUGAAAAAGGAUACUGAAGAGGCACUGCUCCCACCACUCGAGCACAUACAAUCCGAACGUCACCUUGUAAAGGAAAACUUUCCUGCUAAUCCAAUUCAUCUCCCUCUCUCUUCUUCUUCUUCUUCUUCUCUUCCCUGCUCUUCUGGCAUCGAAAGAGUGGAUAUGAUGCUUAUAUAGAGCAGAAACUUCUUCGUCUGCAAAUUGUGUUAUGACGUGCUUUGAGAAAUCAAGUGUGGGUGCAAAGACGACUUUGCGAAUAAUGGCUUCAAAUGUCAGCUCUACGCUUCCCUCACUCGUCAAAAGUCAGCUCGAGUGGUCAAGCGAGACAUUAAAAGUUAGUGUCAGCCAAUUUGGAUUAACAGAGACCCAAAUCUAACUUGUUGACUUAGAACAUUGUUCAUAUGUAUCCCUACAUAAAUGCAACCACAUAUUGCGAAUCUGAACAUUAUGCCAUGAGAGCUCACUCUUUGCUCGAGUUCCUAUCAGGAUGGAUGUAGGUGACCUGCAUCUUCCUACAUGACUGCAACAUUAAUAAUCUCAGCACUGUUGGUCUGUUAUCCCUUAAAUGGUACGGCUGUUGCUAUUAAUUCGAGAGGUUGACUUUGAGAUUGAUCAUGCAUGGAGCUUGGUCAACUUCAACUGUUGCUUUUAUCAUGUUCUUCCUAAUUAUGUACCUUCAGACUUCGAUUUCAAAUGGACAGAUCGAUCACAUUUAAUAUGAGGGCAGACAGCUAGACCAUUUCGUCUCUCUCUAGAUAUGUAUGCAUAUACUCAUCAAUUCAUUGACUAUAAGAUACGUGCCACAUGAUUUCCUUCUCUCAUGGUGAGCAAAGCUUAUUAAAUCCAUUGUCAUUGUUCACUACAAAAUAAAACUGAUGAUGGAUGACAUGUUGCCACCAUGUGAUGUUCUAAUAUAACACAUGACAACCUGACCAUGACUGUCCAUGUGACCAUAGGAAGCAUUCCAACUUCGAAGAAUCAACCACCAGCAUCCAUAUCACUCGGAUCUGUCCAUCAUCAAUAAUAACAAUCUGCACCAUAAUAGAGAUCAUCUUGACAUGGAACAUUCCAAUGGUUCAGACAUCAUUUCAUCCAAAUCAUACACCGAUCAUGUUUGUCCGACAACAAUGAAGUUUAGCUCAACAUAUAUGGUCAUCCGAUGCAUAGACUAUAUGGCAAGCCAUUCCCACAUCCGACAUCUGAUCCCUACUUGGGAUUUCUGAGCACAAUGAUGACCGAGUCCCCUCGCAGGAACAUCUUACUGAUGAAUCGAUCCUUGUUGACCGGAAGCGCUUUCUUCUUUCCCUUGCCGGUUUUGGGUACCUGCAACGACAACAAAAGUCUCAUUAGAAACUAUGGAAAAUCUGCAACGAGAACAACGUUCCAUUAGAAACUAUGGAAAGAGAUGACUGGUGAAAGAAUGUAGUCAGCUUACCUCAGUCCACAUCUCCCUAACAUUUUCGAGGACCAUGUUACAGUGGCGAUCAAAUGCUCUCACACGGCCAAGUAGCUUCUUGUUGUUCCUACAAUUGAUAAGCACCUGUUGCAGAAAAGUUUCAGCAACACUAUUGAAUUGCUCAGUCACUAGAUAAAUCAUGAAAAGACAAAGUUGUUCUUCAGAAUAGUUCUAUGACCAUAACUUUCAUAAAACAAAACACCAAGAAAAAUAUAUAAAAUCAACAUUUCAAUUUCUUUUAUGAACAAUCAAAGCAAGGCUUCCAAACAGAGUUAUUUCUUCCAUCAAAUAAAAUGGAGCUAAAUGACAUGACCUGACAUUUACCAACAUUUUCUGCAAAUCAGACUUUAUCCAGCAAAAUUAUGCUGUAAAAAUAUCAGGGACAAACUAUCUUCUCUCCGUUUAAUAUUGUGAUAAGGUAGAAACGUAAAAUAGUUAUGCAUCCAUUUAAAUGUCUAAUCCACGAAAUAAAGGAACCAAGAUACACCAUUGCAAGUCAAUUAUAUCAAUUGAUACAAUUUAUUCCCUUAGCAUCAACAUUCUAGAACAUGUCAGACUCCUCAUACCUGUGUAUUGUUUUUGACACUCAUCAUCAGAACAGAGAGAGGCCCUGUAUUGAAUUCCUCUUCUUCUUUCUUGGCCUGAACAUAAGUUGCACAUGUUAAACUUGUCUUUGUCAGUAAAAGCGGUAAAUUCACUAUAAAUAGCAUCAUCACCGACAUGAUACAGUGGUCUUGCAGUAAUAACAAACAAAGUUCAAGACUUCAUCUUUGAUCGAUGAACACCAGAUUUAAUAAGUUAUUGAAACUAUUGUUUUAACAUGUAGAAACUACUAAUGGAAGAUCAUGCAACGAAGGUUAUCAAUUUCAGCAUCCAGUGGAUGAGGCUAAUAGAACUUAAUGAUCAAAUACAAGCAGAAAUGAUGGUCAAUAAGAGACUUAGAAAGUCAAUAUCACUAUUUAGUUCUUUCAUGUUUUUUAACCAUAUUAACUUUUUGAUUAUAUCCUAAGCUGAUUUGUUUAAUAAAAAAGAUGAAGGAAGGUGAUGCUCAAAACACCAAAUAACUUAUAUCAAUGGAUCAACAAGCUUCGUGCUAUAUAUUUGACUAAAAGCUAUUCUUUACCUUCUGAAUUCCCUGCAUCACGCUCAUUCUGUACAGGGUUAAACAACAGAAAAAUCCAGCAAAUGAACCACAAAACAUACUGCCAGACCUAGCACUGUUGAAACCUUCUCAUUCAAGUGAGCAGAGAUGUCAAAAGCAUCGACAACAAGAUCCCAGUCUAAUUACAUUGAAAAAAAAAGAAGAAAACUUGUGGUACCUCUAUAUUUAAUCUCAAUAUGCAACUUUCUGAAUGUUUCCAUCAAGAGCACAAAUCACAAAUAAAUUCACUCUGAACCAAGCUUAUGGAUGAGUACACACUAGUACUAGUAAAUACAAGAACAAAAAUUACCAAUAAAUUACCAAUGUUUCCAUUAAGAGCAGAAAUUACCAAUAAAUUCACUCAGAACCAAGCAUAUGGAUGAGCAUACACUAGUACUAGAAAGUACAAGAACACAAGAAACAUAUGAGCUUGUUAACAUAUUCAACCUACUGAAUUUGAAGCCAGACAUCCAAAAUUCUAAAAUACAUAAAUCAAAGUCAAUCAUAUUAGAGUAAUAAACACUCUGCUUUAUAAUCCAUAUGUAAUUCGAUGAAAGUAAAUUAUAAAUAUUCACAAGAUAAAUAAUCUCCAAGUACAUAUGCAAAUUGACCCAGAUCAUGCUUAGGAAAUAUUAAAAUAUUCUGAAAUUUGGAAUUUGUCAUUAAAAAAAAGGAAACAAUAUUUUGACCCUUUAAAGUAUCGUAGUUAUUACUAUUGUUUUAGGAUAGCCUGAUGAUUAGCAAUGCCCAUCUUAAUUUUUGGAUGCCUUCAAACAAAAUGAGCAGGAAUCAUUAAAUUGCAAUUGCAUGUCUUAACCGCAUCUAACUUUGAACAAGCCUUAAAUGAGAUAACUUGAUGACAUUUCAGGCUCCUUCCAUGCCAAAGUUAUCUAUCAAAAUGUUGAUAUUAAAAAGAAUAGAUCAGAAGCAUCUUAUUUCGAUAGAUAAAAUACCAGAAACAGGGUACUAGACAACUUACAGUAGUGUCGUCCUCCAUUAGCCACUGCAAAAUGAAACAGGAAGAAUAAGAACUAACAGAAAAAGAUUAACUAAUACUUUGCAUUAUUAUAAUGAGAGAAAAAAGCAUAGAUGACCAAUGAAUAUGGUAAUUCAGCAGUAGUCUGCAAGGGUAACUUAACGUAAAGAGAUAUUUCUACAAAUAACAUUCUAUCAUCAACACAAGGUGAUAAUAUGUUAAAAUUAUCAUCCAAAUCGUUUGCAAAGUCACUUGCAUAGAUGCCAAGAAAAAGUGUGUAUGUGUGACUAAUAGUUGCUAUAAAUAUAGGACUAAAAGGCAACAAAUGGCAAAGGGAUGUAUGCAGGCCUUCAGAUGAUGUCAGUAACAUAAAUAUUUUUGCGAUAUUGAGGAACAUAUUGCUCAAUAUCUCAUUUAAUAUCCCAAUGAAAACCAAAGAUUCCUAGUGAAAUAAGAUUAUCCUGACUAAGAUCCAUUUCAGGAAUAAGGAUACAUGUUCUCAAGCACAUCAAUAAAGCACAAAUUUUUAGUGUGCAUACAAUCAAUACGGCCAUUAGUUUUUUGUUUUUUGUUUUGUUUCAAUCUCCACAAAUUCUUGGCUCGAAUGUUGCAUCCUUAUGGAAAAGAAAAAUGACGAACUUUGGCAGCUUAGAAGCUGCUAAUUCGAUCCUUUGACCUUUAACAAAAUAAUACCCAGUCCUCGUACAACUCUCAACCAGAUCUCACGGAAUAAGCAAAACUGAUCAACCAUCUAAGAACGAACAAAAUACUCGAUCAAUAAUAAAAACCGACGCUAAGCCCUCCACAGCAAACAGAUGCAACACCACACUGACUGCAUUUAAAACCCUAACGCAAUAACAGCUAAAAACGAUGAUUUUUCCCAACGAAAAGCGCCGAUAGCGCAUUGCAAAAGAUUAAUGGGCCAUAACGAUAUAAUAUUUAGGGGGGAAAACAUAGCAGCAAAGAAUAUGUUUUUGGAUUCGAAGCGCACCUCAAGUUCCUUCGAUCGCCGGCUCUUCCCCACAAAACCCUAGAGAAAGCAGCAGGAGCUCCGCGUUCGAGCCCCAAGUCGGGUUCGGCCGCUUUAAUAAAAGCCGAAACCGACACGGUUUCGUAACGCUAUUUGGAACCCGAAGAUGUCGGGCGAUUCAACGUAAGGCUUAACGGUGACCGUCUGAUCAAACUCGUCCGGUUGAUGUACCCGUCAAGGAUCGACCGUUACAUUUGGGGCAAAUUUAUAUAUAAUUAGUAUUUUUCAUAUUUAUCCCUCUAAAUAAUCUUAAGAGUAUAACUGAAAUCUUACAAAUAUAUCAAACCCAAUAUGAAUAACCUUCAAAAAUAUUGCAUACAUAUCUUCAUUAAUUAUUAAAUUUCAUAAUUGUCUCUUUACAUUAUAAUUUAAAAAUUAAAAACCAACUAAUUGAUGAAAAUGGUACUAAAUAAUUAGUAUUUCUCAUUCAUGAUCAUAGUAGUAAUGGUUAAUCUGAAUUUAUGUUAAGGAAGCUAAUAAAAUGACACAUAUAAAAAAUUUAAAUAUUUGAAGGAGCAUCGGUAUAAUAUCCAAAUAUUUGAAGAAUCUUAUAUUUAGCUUAAGUCAAUAUAUUUACUAUAUAGGACUGUCAUAGAAAUGUAAUAAUCCCAACAUUAUUACCCUUUCUAUUGAAUUUUGAUCCAAAAAUAUGCUUGUAUGUAUGGAUCUUUAUUUUGAUUGACCUUUAGUUGUCUAUAUCCGAAUAAUCUUUUAUAGCAGAAGAGGGAGAUUUUUCUUAAGUAUUUGCAGAAGUUAGUUUUUAGUUCUGUUGACUCACGAUCUGGUCCACGGAUCGAUGUCGAACGGAUUGUUAGGAUCGAUCAUAGCCGCGGGUCAGGAUAUUGGCGUCGAGAUGUUGGUUGGUGUCUCUUGGUCGGGACGGUCGCACCUCAGGGGUGGCUGCUCUCCUACACAGAAGGCUCUCAUCGGGUGGUUACUGACUUUGACCCCUCCACAAGUGAGAUAGUACUUGGUUCUCUUUAUUUUUUCGCCUCCGCUGGCCAGAUGCAGGCCAGAGGUUUUUAUACUACUAUACGAGGGUCGAUCGUAUGCGGGUUUGGCGCGACAGUCGAUCCUUGAGGGGCGAGGAGGUACCUUUGUGCGAUCGUCAUCUUGAGCUUUCCGGGAUGGGAUGUACCGAGGAAUGUCUUAGUACGGAUCCUGGCUCGGCGCGUGGGAGUGCUCCUUUUGUUGACUUGGCGAUGGCGUGGCGCGACGUUGGUUGUGACGUGACCGGGGCCGGGCCAAAAUAUACCUUAUCAAGUUCUAAUAAAUUUUGUUUAUGGGUUAUUAUCAAGCUAAAAAUAUGGAUGCAGUUCACAAAACCAGGUGUUACUAAUAUCACUCUAAUGUGUACUUUUAAUGGCCCCAUAAGUCUAGGUUUAUGCAUGUAUGUAUGUACAAAUAUAGUUAAAUUGCAAUACAAUUACAUGAUUACUUAGAGGAACCUCUUCCUAUUAUUAAAAAGAAAACUGGAAGCUACCAAACAUUUGCUUACUAGUUGAGAUUGAAAUCCAUUUUCUCAGAAUCCUGUUCUCUUUCUGAGUCUAUACCUUGUUUAGCUUUCCAACUAUAUACUUCAUAACUCUCACAAUUGAGCCUUCUGUGGUGGACAAACACUAUUUGGACAGUGGAUAUUCUUUCAUCUGCUCAGGUGAAAGUUCUUAAUUGAUUCCCAAGUAAAACUAUGAAUCAAACUAUCAAUUGAAACUCCUUGAUUUUGGUAUUGUUCAGUCUUGCACAUCAAAAUCUGAAAGUCAAAGUUAGAUAUCAAUUGGUCUGAAUUAUAUCCAUUUAGGAUGAGGCUUGAUGUACACAGUACACAAGAAUGAUGUAGUAUGAUGCCCAUAGCACACAAGAGGAUUAUUAUAUUGUGUACAACAUUUCAUCAAAUUCUAUCACCUCAUGAUAGUAGCACACUUGACCUAAAAUAUUUGAGCAAAUCAAUUUGGAUGGAGUUGGACUUUGACCUAGCAAGAAGAAAUGGAGAGCAGCACCACCAAUAGAUCAUGUUAACCAUGACACUCCCCAAAGAUGGGGUUCACUUGUUCUUCAAUGUUUGAGCACCUACCAGACCAGUCAUCUCCUCUAUUCAAUGAUCUUUUUAAACAUAUUCUUUAUGCAUUUGUCAUAAAAUUUUGCCUUGAGUAUUCAAAAAAUGAGAAACAUCAACUUGUUGUUAGUCACAUUUUAACAUUUAUAGAAUGUUCUGGAAGCAAACUGAACAACAAAUCAUGUGUGAAACAACUCAUGUUUAACAUGAAAAGUUCCACAUUGAAUUUAUCUGUUGUUCAGUGUGGUCCUUCAAAAGUUACAAUGGACUGCUCUGAAUCAAGUAGAAGUUGACAGAGAUUGAGUCCCAUUAAGUAUUUAUGAUUUCAUUAUUAUAUGGAAGAAAAAAAUUAACAUAUCCUGCCAAUAUCUGAAAGGAAACCCCAGUGAUUGGUAUUUUCUAGUGGUGUCCCCUUACCUAUGUGACCAUAUUUAAGCCUACUCUACUGUUUGACUGCAGCAGAAGCUAACCUAGUGUCUUGAUUAAUGCUCUUUAUUCUUUCAGAACUCCAACACCUUGCCACAUGGUGUUAGAACAUACAGAUACAUCCAGCUCAUUGACUCUGUCAAGUUCAACUUGGAAAACCAAUGACUACAAAUUCCUAACUCCCAGCUGGUGGCCUUGAAACCAUGCCUUAAUCUAUUUGUUCUUGUUCCACUGACCAGUGAACAUCUUAAAUAACACAAUUAAUAGUCUAGUUUGGUGCCACAAUGGAAGGCAAUUGUUGCCUAGGGUUUCACCAUCCAUGGUGGUCAGGCUGUAUAGAGAAACCCCAAGUCAAAGUGGCCUGCCCACUGUAACCAAAAGGAAACUUGGUUUUUGGAGUUUCUGAUACUAACAAGUAACAGGCUUCGCCACUUAUAUUGGGUUCUGAGCACAUGGAAGAGGGUGUUCCUGUAAUCAUCAAUCCACAGGUUUAGAACUGAUCAACUUCCAACAUCUCUUCCCUGCAACAACAGAACAAUAUAUCACACACAUGUAUCUUCUGCCUGUCUAAUGAUGCUAGUGAAGCAAAACUCAUGCUCGAGUUCAGGAACAUACUGCGGAAGACAUUAGUUUUGCAACAUCUGUGGGUGAUUAUUUUGCUUGCUGACAAUGAUGGUGUACUUGAAGUGGAGUGGAGAAGAAGACACACUGAAGAGCUCUUCUGCUCUACAACUUAAUGGUGUUGUUUCCUUGUAAGACAAUCAUCAGAAGAUAUGACUGAUCAAGCAUUUCCUUUCUGCAAAAGUGUGUGGUGAAACAGUUGACAAGCCACCUAAUAAUUCGCGAGGAUCACCACUUGUUCCAUGCUACUGCUAGUUGACUGGGUAUAUCUUCCCGCAGAAAGCAUAUGCAUGUGUCGAGAACUGCUUUUCUCUUCUGGAUAAGAUGCACAGCUUUACAAGCUGGUGUCUGAGACAUGCAGUAGCUUUAUUUGAGGUGAGGUGUGGUCAUGUACUUGUCUUUUUUUUUCUUUCACUUGUUAUGGGACCCAAAGGAGUUCACGCACUAAGCUUUUUAGCUAAAGGUUGAUAUCCAACAUCAUCUACAGUAGCCGUGGAUGAGCUGAUGCCAACACUGAAUGACUCAUCUACAGUUUGCCUGGGAGAAAAGCCAUCAAUUUGACUUGGCAUGAUGAUAUGCUUUGAUUCAUGAGCUUGUGAUUCAGCAACUCUUAGCACUGGUUAUACCAUUUUAUUCAUAUACACUUAUAUUUCUCUAUGAGAAUCCAACUGUGUUCGAUGAUGAAGAAGAAAAGAAGUCCAUACUGACCAACUCAGUUUAGUGUUGUUACUUGUGUCACGUGCAAACAUUCCACCGUAGAGCUUGCUGAUCUAGUUGAUGGAUUGAUGUACCGAGACAGGGAGAAGAGGUGAAGAAGAAACGUAUUCGACCAUGCAUUAGGGUGGUAAGACAAGACGCCUUCACGUAGGACGCAGCCGGAGGAGACAGCGAUCGCCAUCGAUGGCCGAGUAGCUUGGCCUCAUCCGGUGCGGCCACCGAGGCGGACCGGAGGCCACGGGUUGUGACGCGUCAGUCACGUGUGCAUGUCCCUAUGUUUGCUUGCUGCCUCCUCCUCCUCCUUUGACCCCAUCACCACAUAUCUCUCUCUCUCUCCCUCUCUUCCUUUAACAAAUCUAUAUUAAGUGUAAGUGCUAAGAAAUACUCCCACGCUACUAAAAGAUGAGAAAGCUUAAACCAGAAAAAAGCAUUGACUUGGUGCUUUAGAGUGAAUGACAAGUCACUUGCAUUCAUCUUCGUACAUAUAUUUCUUCUUUAAUAAAAAGGUUGAUUGACAACUUGAUCAAGUCAUUGAUGGGCUGCUUUUGUCAAAGACAUGGUUACUGCUUCGUUGUGGCAAUCUACAAUGAACAUGCACAGUAAGACUGCAUGUGUACAAGAACCCUACCUGACCGCUCCUUUUAUCGAACGCAUGUUGUCUGAGUUCAUGAUGAACAUUGUAGGACAGGCAAGCCACUGGGUCGGGUGGGUGGGUGAUCAACAUACUUAUCACUUCUGUGCAAGUAUCUGCUCUCUUCUUUGCUCAAAGAAAAAGUAUCUUUUGUCUUCAGCCAAUUAGAAUCUAGGCUCAGGAGACCACCAACAACCCUUGCUCCUCCGUUCCCUUGGAUGCUUGAAUGCUCGUGACUCUUGUUCCAUGAUUCAUCACCUUCUCUAUCAUCGUUGUCGUCCACACUUUCCAAUCUCGAAACGGGACCAUGCCUGCAAGACAACGCUUCGUAACACCUGGACGGGUCGGUGUUAAACUAGUCCUAGUUCUCAUUUCAUGGAAUCUUCACAUUGACCAUGCAACUGGAUGGAAUAUAGAAGAACAAUGGUACGACGGUAGAAUUAAUGGAGAUGCAUGUUGCUACCUAACUCAAGAAAAGAAGCCUAAUUUGCUUGUUCAUUAACGUGGAGAAGGAGCGUCAAGGAUAAGGUAAGCUGGACUCCACAAUGAUGCAACCAAGUGCUGUUGUUGAUUGACUAAAGGAAGACAAUACCGGCAAGUUAGGCUUUGAAAUGUUCUACCGGUGCGUCCAAGUGCCACUCGAAUUAAGCUGAUCCUGUGUGAAUGAGAUUACUGGUUCCUGAUACUUCUGCCGAAACAUCAUCAUUCGUCUGUGUAGAAUUCUUUCUCCCAGCAAGUGAAACCACCGUCACACGUACAUCACAACCGCACUCCUAUUCUCCGAACACUAAAACAAAGUAUGAUCUUAAAGCUGUCUUCUUCUACCCGAAUAAAAGAAGAAGAAAGAUGAGGAGAGUUGGAUAUUUGUCCUUCAACAUUAACGGCUUGAAUCUUGUUCCAGGUCAAGUGGUGGCUGCCGCUUGCUAAGUACAUUGUCCCGUUUGUCUCGCUUAUGCUUUUACUCUAUUUUGCUCUUUCCCACAGUAGGCGCUCAUGUGAAACUGGUUCUCAUUGAUGGCAAGCAGAUUCUUCUCGUAUCUUUCUCUGCACCUGGGUAUUACGGUCACAAAAACUGUGGAGCCAUUCCAAUUCCUAUGGACUGCGGAGUUGGGAGGUUCACGACGCCCACAAGCCUUCCAUGGUCCAUCUGCUGCCAAUUCCUAUUGACUGCGGAGACGGAGGUUUACGACGCACACAUGAUUUCCAUGGUCCAUCCGCUGCGUGUGCAGUGAACAUAGUUCCACCACCGUCAUGGGUAAGCUAUGUAUUACUUUGGAGGGACGAAAGGUUUCGUCGGGCUUGUUCACAUCAUCGUCGUCGUCAUCGUGAUCAUGCUUACUGUGGGAUUAGAGGGAGCGGGGCCCGCCUCUCACCUCCCGACCCGUUCUUUGUCGUUUCCGCAGAGGCCCCGGUUCGGAAACGACAAAAUGUCCGACACACGCGGGGCCCGGCUCUGUUCCACCCUGCUCUCGACGCGUGGCGCUACUACGCGUCCUCUUUUUAGACUUGAAACAAAAUAAAAAGAACAAAAUUAGACAAAAGCAAUAAAUAAUAAUAAUAACAACAACAAUACUGUUAUUAUUAAACCACGGCGCACGUUAGCGAGACCGGCGCACUUGAGGAGGACGCUGACGGAUCGGCGGACGCGCGGCGUGGGGAGGUCGGUUGUCGCCGUCCCCGGCCGCUGACCCCGCCGCGGGAUCCACCACGCCCCGUCGCCUCAGAUGAAUCGCCGAUUCCCCCAAGCCCAACCGAUCGCCCCCCGUUCCCGCGCUGCUUCUUCGUAAUAACUCUUUUACCCUUCACCGCUCCCUCACCAUUUAAAAUGGAUUUGAACUCAGUAAAUCUAAUAGGAGAAAAGGAAAAGAAAAUUAGAAUCAUUGAGCACCAAAAGCAAUAUAUAUAUAUAUAUAUAUAUAUAUAUAUAUAUAUGUCAGUGUUUACUUUGUGUCAGAGACGACAAGGAGCAGCUGUCGUAAAAAUAGAUAGAUGGAUGGAGGAAUAAGACAUAAUAUACCACUUUAUCUAACUAAGCACGGCUUCACCUGCUUGUCUUUGCACGGCAAGCUGUCUUUAGCUGCCCCCAUGACAUGCGCAGUUCAUGGUACAUACACAUCUGAAAAGAAGAGUCCCUUCACGUCAAAUGCAGUGCUAUAUGUGGUUUUGCCAUCUUGAUCAUGCCACGUAGCUGAGAAUCUUCGAACAAAAAGCCAUGAAACAAGCUGAGCAUGCAGUUGGCAUCACAUAGCAGUCUCCAAAUUUGACAUGCCAGUUUAACUCCAGCCAUCGAAGACUUCAUCGAUUAGGAGCAGAUAUAUAUAUGUAUAUAUAUAUAUGUAUAUAUAUAUAUGUAUAUAUAUAUAUAUGUAUAUAUANNNNNNNNNNNNNNNNNNNNNNNNNNNNNNNNNNNNNNNNNNNNNNNNNNNNNNNNNNNNNNNNNNNNNNNNNNNNNNNNNNNNNNNNNNNNNNNNNNNNNNNNNNNNNNNNNNNNNNNNNNNNNNNNNNNNNNNNNNNNNNNNNNNNNNNNNNNNNNNNNNNNNNNNNNNNNNNNNNNNNNNNNNNNNNNNNNNNNNNNNNNNNNNNNNNNNNNNNNNNNNNNNNNNNNNNNNNNNNNNNNNNNNNNNNNNNNNNNNNNNNNNNNNNNNNNNNNNNNNNNNNNNNNNNNNNNNNNNNNNNNNNNNNNNNNNNNNNNNNNNNNNNNNNNNNNNNNNNNNNNNNNNNNNNNNNNNNNNNNNNNNNNNNNNNNNNNNNNNNNNNNNNNNNNNNNNNNNNNNNNNNNNNNNNNNNNNNNNNNNNNNNNNNNNNNNNNNNNNNNNNNNNNNNNNNNNNNNNNNNNNNNNNNNNNNNNNNNNNNNNNNNNNNNNNNNNNNNNNNNNNNNNNNNNNNNNNNNNNNNNNNNNNNNNNNNNNNNNNNNNNNNNNNNNNNNNNNNNNNNNNNNNNNNNNNNNNNNNNNNNNNNNNNNNNNNNNNNNNNNNNNNNNNNNNNNNNNNNNNNNNNNNNNNNNNNNNNNNNNNNNNNNNNNNNNNNNNNNNNNNNNNNNNNNNNNNNNNNNNNNNNNNNNNNNNNNNNNNNNNNNNNNNNNNNNNNNNNNNNNNNNNNNNNNNNNNNNNNNNNNNNNNNNNNNNNNNNNNNNNNNNNNNUAUAUAUAUAUAUGUAUAUAUAUAUACAUAUAUGUAUAUAUAUAUAUAUGUAUAUGUAUAUAUAUAUAUAUAUGUAUAUGUAUAUGUAUAUAUAUAUGUAUAUAUAUAUCUGAUGCGUUGUUGUUGAUGAGUCAGCACGGCUUGGUCCACGGGGUGAUAUCGAGAGUUUUCGGUCGAUUGAGCUGGAUGUCGGAGUCGGUCGAGCCCUUCAGUCGGUGUGUUGGCACCGCAAUAUUGAGGUCUCUUUGUCGGGAUGCUGAUUGGCGCAUCGGAAGGAAGGACGCCUUUAUCGAUCGGGAUGGUCUCGCCUCGGACGUUGUCGUUUUCCUGCACAGAAGGCCCCAUCGGGUCGUUACCGACUGUGACCCCUCGACAAGUAAGUCAGUGUGGGGUUUUGCUUUCCUGCCUUCAUUUUUUCGCCCCCUGGUCGUAUGCCAGUCAGGGGUUUUUAUACUACUACUAUACGAGGGUCAAUCGUACGCGGGUUUGAUGUGACGGUCGAUCAUUGAGGGAUGAGAUGGUACCUUUGUGCGGCCACCGUCUCAGGACGUAUGGAACGACGCCAUGCGAUGUCGUCCCGGGCUUACUGGGACGGGACAUACCGAGUGGCGUCUUGAUAUGGUUGCUGGCUCGACGUGUGAAUGUGCUUCUCUUGCUGACUUGAUUGUGACGUGGUGUGGUAUCGAUUGUACCGUGACCUAGAUCCGAAAAAUACCUUAUCACAUAUACCGCAAGAUCAGUACUAGUAGUAGUAGUAGUAGUAGGGUGUCAAUCGGUCUUUACCCUUCCCGUGGAGGAAAGGAUCAGAGAAGACAUACAUAGAUAUCGGCAAUGGUAGUGCUGUAAAUAGAGGCGACGACAAGAGCUAUCCAGGAAAGGAACAGCGGGGUCCGCGAGCCGUCUCGAAUCGGCGAGGAAUUGGUGACGGAGGUCGCGUCGAGAAUACCAUCGUCGGACCGGAAGAUCGGGGGGUAGCGUCUUCGACACGCGUCGACAAAGUAGCCUCUCUUUUAAGUUAUAGCGUCAAGUUGCACAAACACCUGAUCCUCCCCCUUCUCUCUCCCUCACCCACCACUACUACUACAGUAUCCAUAACAGUGACAUCACCCUAAUUAAAACCUCAAAAAGGGGAAAAAAAUUAAACGAAUAAAUAUUUCUCGAAAUUAUUUUUUUCGUUCACAAUCAUUUAAUUUGCUCUCUCUCUUUCCUUUGCUUUUUACUCGAAAGAGAGAUCGGCUCUGUAUGAUGGUGAUAUAAGAGAUCCGACCGAGCGGGGGAAAUAUCCACAGUGUGAGCAGCCUCUCUUUCCUCCGGUCGCCUACGAGUGCGGGCGAGGAGGGAGUCACUGUGGAUCGAGGAUAAGGAGCGGAAAGACUGCAUCUUGGGGUGGAAUCUGUGUCGAAUAAAUUCUUGUAAUCUUUUUUGUUCAAGUUUUUGGGGGUGAAAUUUCGUGCUUUUUCUGAGGGUUGGCAUUGUUUUGGUUGGAAACGAUGGAGUUGAGGUCAUCGUGUGGUGGGUUUUGUAGGGCUUGAGUUGAAGGUAAUUGAGCUUGCAAGUGGUGUUGUAUUUUCCUUUUUUCUUCUGGUUGGAUUCUCUGAGAGAUUUCGGUGGAGUGCAGAAAGGUUGGACUUUUGGGAUUUUGCGCCUGCUUUUGAUCGUCUUCGAGACGAAAAGUUUGGGGAUAAGGACAAGAAAUUUCACGGGUUCUCCAUUUGGUGCCGGUCGUUUCUCUUCUUGCUUCACCAGUUGCCUCAGUUCUGUUCGGAGCGAAGGUAAGCGAAUUUGAGGUUUUCUGCUUCGUUUCCGAAUUAUUAUGCGAAGUGGUCUGGAUCUUUUAGAUUCAUGGCGUAUUCUUCUCCGUUUUGAUUCCUUGUCGCAGGAACGUGUCUUAUGCUAUAAAGGAUAUGAAGAAUUGGCUCGUGCGGAAGGUGAGGAGUGUCAUGGUAACGUAUGCUGUUCUUCAUAGCUACCUUUUUAGGUGAUGAAGAUGGUCUCUUUAUCAAUUAUACCACCACGAAUUUGUCUCUGUUCGCAGAAUUCUUCCAAGGCCAGUUAGAGUUGCUCUUAUCCGACGAAUCCACGAGAGAACCAUCAAUGAAGGACAACGAUAAGUGCCUGGACUCCCAGCUCUGGCAUGCUUGCGCCGGCGGGAUGGUUCAGAUGCCGGCCGUGAACUCCAGGGUCUACUACUUCCCCCAGGGUCACGCGGAGCACGCCCAAGGAUUUGUGGACUUUGGGAAUUCACGGUGGAUACCGCCGUUCAUACUCUGCCGAGUCACGGCAGUCAAGUUCAUGGCUGACCGGGAGACAGACGAAGUCUUUGCUAAGAUCCAGAUGGCCCCUAUCAGGGGCAGCGAGCUCGACUGUGCGGAAGAUGAUGGGCUGGACCUUGGUAUGAAUGGAAUUGAUGUGUGCGGAAAGCCUGCUUCUUUUGCCAAGACAUUGACCCAAUCGGAUGCCAACAAUGGUGGUGGAUUCUCGGUCCCUCGCUACUGCGCUGAGACCAUCUUCCCGAGGUUGGACUACUCGGCAGAUCCUCCGGUACAGACCGUGAUCGCAAAGGAUGUACAUGGCGAGGUGUGGAAGUUUAGGCACAUAUACAGGGGGACACCUCGUCGGCACCUUCUCACCACCGGAUGGAGCACCUUUGUGAACCAGAAGAAACUUGUGGCAGGGGAUUCCAUUGUGUUCCUCAGAGCAGAGAACGGGGAACUCUGUGUUGGUAUCCGACGUGCCAAAAAAGGUGGGGCUGGUGAUGGCCCAGAUUGCUGGCCAGGAUGGAAUCCCCCAGGCAGUAAUGGUGCUUCUGGAUAUGGUGGCUUAUCUGUCUUCGUGAGGGAAGAAGAUGGCAAAUUGAUGGGAGGUAACGGUGAUGAUUUUGAUUCCAGCAGGGGUAUAAGAGGAAGGAGCCAAAUGAGAAUAGAUUCUGUCAUUGAGGCGGUAAAACUUGCAGCAAAUGGGAAGCCUUUCGAGGUUGUGUACUACCCGAGAGCCAGUACGCCAGAGUUUUGUGUAAAGGCUGCAGCAGUGAAAGCAGCGAUAAGGAUCCAGUGGUAUCCGGGGAUGAGAUUUAAAAUGGCUUUCGAAACUGAGGAUUCAUCAAGGAUUAGUUGGUUCAUGGGGACUAUAUCUUCGGUUCAGGUUGCAGAUCCCAUAAGAUGGCCUAAUUCACCAUGGAGACUUCUCGAGGUAUCCUCUUUAUGCGGCAUAUGCAAGUUGUUUAUCCUUUUUCCCUUUUUUGUACACUUUGAUGAUCAAAAUGUGCUUUAGCUCUUUCUGAUUGAAAUCAUUUUUCUUAAACAAUGUUGGUGGUUAUCAGAAGCCAACUUAAAGUAUGAGAAAUGUGCUUUAGUUCUUUUCUUUUUUCAGAUUCACAUUUCAUUUCACUUUAAUUGGGUUAAAAAUUUUAAUGUAGAGAAGAAAUGUUUUUUUUCUGAUGAAGAUGUCGUGAAAAAGAAAAUGCUUGAGGGAUAUUCUGAGAGGAAGUUUUAUGAUGCAGUUGACUUAAACAUCUUGGUGUUCGCAUGAACAAGUAUAAACUCUUUUUCCCCUUAUAUAUGGUGAUCACUUGAUGUCCUUGAACUUGUUAAUAUUCUCCACCAUUUUUAUUAUAUAUUAAUUUUUUAAUAUACAAUCAGCAUAAAACUAUAUUUGAUCUCAUGAACAUGGAUCUUAAGUUGUUGUAUUAAUAUUUUAUUCAUACAGUUAACUGUGAUACAAAAUUGUUAUUCUUUCUCAAUAAUACAAAAAAAAUAUUUUUUGGUUGUUAAAAUAAGUGUGUGAUCUUCUUUUCUUUGGCAAUCCAUAAUUCAUAAUUCUGAAAGUUGUACUAGUUUGGCUAGCUGCAUUGGAAUAUAUUGCUACCAGAAAAAUGCAAUUUUUAAAACAACUAAGAUGAUGCCUAUGAUUGUUUCACGUUGACAUGGUUGAGUGUUCAAUUGGAGAUAAGCGCUUUGUAAAAAAGAAUUCUUCCUGGCAGAGAAAAUUACAGUAUCUCGUGAAUAGAUCGGUUCAAUCUAUACUGAAUUAUCUAUCCAUCUCUUCACGUGACAGGAAAAUAAAGUUCCAUUAUGGUUAUAUAUUUGUGAAGAUGCAAAGGAUAAACCUAAGCUAUAGUCAUGAUAUGAAAAGAAUUUAAGCUCAUCAUCUAGGGCUUCCUAAAAUCCUCAAAUUGUGCUUGACUUCUGUCAAAAAAGAAAGAAAACAAUGCUUUUUUGAAUACACAUACUGCAUGUGGUUCUUUUGCUUGGUAAUCUAAUGACUUUGAUUUCAUUGAAUUCCCUUUCUACCUGUGAGUAUAUUUGUCUUUCAAUUUGAGAAUGCUAAUCACCCUUGAAAUGAUGUUGCAGGUGACGUGGGAUGAACCAGACCUGUUACAGAAUGUGAAGCGUGUGAGUCCAUGGCUGGUUGAACUGGUUUCAAAUUUGCCAGCCAUUCAUCUUGCACAUCUCUCACCACCCAGGAAAAAGCCACGGAUUCUCCAACACCCUGAUUUUCCCUUUGAAGGUCAAUGUCCAAUGCCAAUGGUCGUAGGAAACCCCAUCAUCACCAGGGACAGCCCCUUCUGCUGUUUUUCUGACAACGCUCCUGAAAGCAUACAGGGAACCAGGCAUGCACAAUUUGGUCUAUCUUUAUCAGAUGUCCAACUUAACAAACUGCAGACGGAUCUGUUCCACACUGGGUUUCAUCGGCUUGAUCAUGCUACUCUGCCCUCGAGGAUUUCUACGGGUGUUACUGCUGGCAAUCCUACUAUUCGUGACAAGGUAUCAUGUUUGCUAACUAUCAGUCAUCCUUCUCAGAGCCUGAAGAAAUCAUGUGAUGGGAAGCCACCACAAUUGGUGCUCUUUGGGCAGCCAAUACUCACUGAAGAACAAGUGUCUUUGAACAAAUCUGAGAAUACGACAUCCCAUUGUGCUACCGGAAACAGCUUAUCGGAUGAGAAUCUUGAAAAGACAGUGAGUAUGUCUGAUGGUUCUGGAUCUGCAAUAAAUCUGAAGGGAUCUCUUGAAGCAUUCCCGAGUCAGAAGGAUCAUCUAGCUUCGGAGUUUGGUCAUUGGACUGGGCAAUGUAAGGUGUUUAUGGAAUCAGAGGAUGUGGGUCGCACCCUUGACCUCUCUGUAUUAGGCUCAUAUGAGGAACUAUAUGGGAGGCUUGCUGACAUGUUUGGAACUGAAAAAUCAGAGAUGGUGAGUCAUGUGCUUUAUAAAAAUGCAGCCGGAGCAGUUAAACACACUGGAGAAGAACCUUUCAGGUGAUCUAUUUGAUUGCAAUCUUUAUAAUUUGUAGAAAGACAAUUCCUUCCUUUGUCAUUGCAAGAUGCUGUAGACUCUUGCCUGAAGAUCCUUUUUGGUGGUUUUCUUUUCCUUUAUACUUUCUUCAAAGAGGAUUUGGAAGCUUUCAAAUGUUUCAUUGCAUUUUCUUCUUUAGUUACUCCAGCUUUUUCACAUCUAAUUUACAUCUUAGAGUUCCAUAUGGCUUGCAUAACUGUCUUCCCAAAAUUUUGUUCUCUUCUGUACAUAUUUUAUGAAGUUGAUAUGUCUGAGACUAAUGGGGAAGCAGUCCUUGUUUUUUCAUGAAACUGUUUACAAAAUUAUAAUAUUUUUACCUUACCUCCACAACCUGUUGUUUGCUCUGUGAAUUGACGCAUACAUUUUGUUUUUUCAUUUGUUGCAGUGACUUCAUGAAAUCAGCCAGGAGACUGACAAUAUUAACUGAUACAGGAAGCGACAACAUAGCAAGCUAGGGAAAGUCACUUGCCAAUUGUAUAGUUGAGCAGGCAAGUCUCUUCUUAAAUUGCCAACAUCACAGGCACUUCAUCUUGGAUGCCGAUUUUAUGUUUCGAAAGCCAGUUUUCUGUUUCAUCUCAAUUUCCAGUAUGAGUUUCACAACUAAGGACAAGUUAUUAGCAACUUUAUUUAGCAAAAGAAUCAGUGUUGCGGUCUAUUCUCGCUGGAAAUUCCUGCCACAUUUAUUUGUGCUAGAAAAAGCACAAACUUUGGUCUUUCAUGCACAUGGAAAAACACUAACUGCGAUGGAGUUGGUUCUCUGCGUGAGAAAGUCGGUGGUCAGUUGUCAUAGUUUUAGCUGGUCCGUGCAUAUUAUUAGAGUUGAGUUUCAAUGCUUGUUGGAUGCUGUGUAAUAUAAACUUAAAACCACAAUAUUGCCGAAAGGAAUGCAGAUUGUUCAAUCUUCUUACUUCAUUGACUCGUUAUAGUUGUCUUCAUGUUCAUGUCAGUGUUGCUGGAUUGAUCUAUAAAUCUUGAGAACACUGAGCCCAGGUUAUAUUGCAGCUCCUGAUUUAGUGGUGUUACAAAUUCAGUCGUUUUUCCUGCCUGUAUCAAUUGAAGAGAGAGUUCGUGAUUGCAAGAGAAAUAUUUCAUUCAGCCAAGUCAAAUUGAAGCUCAAGUAAUCAAUCACCAAGUACCUGCUGUCAAGAACGUAUGCAGAUAACCUAGCUGUUUUGUUGACAUUGAUGUCUUGUCCAACCAGACUCACUGCCAUUUCCAUGGUUUCUCCUGAGCUAUCCCCUACUUGUGACAGAGCAAAGAAUUCAGCACACAGAGGCCUAUUGAGCAAUCAACAAGCAGAAGCUCCAUACAAGAACUCUUUCAUUGAGCUUUCGAAUCCCUGGAAAAUGGGAAUUUGUUGAAAGAUAUGCUCCAAAUACCGCAUGACAAAGAAAAAAGACAGGUUUUUAUGGCAGGAAGCAAUUUGGCUCAGCCAAUUCUACACAGUCUCACCUGUUUCUUUUGUCUGGGGUCAUUAACACUGUUGCUGACUCUCCAAUUGUUGCUCUUGUAUCAUUAGAAUGCUUUCGUGGAUAGAUGCUGUCGAAGAUGAUCUAUGAAGUUUACAGUGUUCCUAUAUCUGGAUCGGAAACUUGGUUAUCAAUCUUUAGGUGGUCAAGGUGACAUGAUAUGUCCAACAACUGUAGUGUAACCUCAUGCAAUCAAUCCUCCAUGAUUGUUUAGGACAAAUGUUUGCAUGUACAGAGCCAGAGUGUAUGAUCAAGAGCAAACAAAUAGUUGCACUCCCUUCCAAAUCUUAUGAGUUCUUGGACCACAUUCGACAUUUAUUAGUCUGUGGUGGUGAUGGAAAACAAGAUGUUCAUUCGUCUGAUGUCUUUGUCUUGUAUUAAUCUGUGGUGGUGAUGGAAAGCAAGAUGUUCAUUUGUCUGAUGUAUCUGUCUUUGGUUCCAUGUUAAUAAUAUAUGCACCCUAUUGUUGACUGUUCAAUCGCAAGAUCCAUCCAAGAUCAAGAAGCAUAAAUUUGCAUGAAUCCAUCUUCUUGGCAAACAGUGGUGCAUAAAUCCAUGUCAAUAUAUGCUAUUGAUUGUUUAAUGCAUGAAGGAGGAUCGAGACAAAAAAGAGGUAGAGAGAGAGCUUAUGGGAAGGAUAAUAGAUUGAGCGAUUCACUCAUUCUCUACCUUAUAAACUCAUUCAAAGCAGUCAAUUCCUCGCGAACUCUCGUACCCGUGCCAACAAUAACAAAUGAUGACUUAUCAAUUAACACUAGAAGGAGGAUAUACAAGUCCUCGAUUUUUAUAUUACGGUAUUGAUAUGAAUAUUUAGUCUAUAUCAAUUGAUAAGCAAACGAACUAAAACUUUAUAGAUAUCUUUUUAGAUUCACUCGAAAGAUCAAAAUUAUAUAGUCUCCCCCAAAAUAAAUAAUUUCUCGUAAGCCUUAAUACAACAAAAUAUGAAUUAUCAACCCACAUAAAUUUCAGUUUGUAGAAUGGAUAAAGUAGGAAAUUAUUGAAGAGAAAAUACAUACAUCAAAUAAAUAUGAGAUCAACAUAAGCGUUGUAACGAUUGUGAACAGGUCCAUGAAUCUUAAACCAAGGUGAUAUCAACAAAAUCUAAAAUCUAAGGCUAAGUCGUAGAAAGAGAUUGUCUUGUCUUAGUUAUGUAGGAUGUUUGAGAUCAGGUUGUUGAUUCCGGACAAAGGUCAGCAGAGCACUGCAUUGAAUUGAGAUGUCGUCUCUGAUUCUGUCGUCAGUGACUCGCCAUAAAGGCACUGCUUAGUUGAGUGCCAACAACAACUGCUUUCCUCACCAUAAAAGCAUCUGUCCAACUUUGUGGAAGUAUAGAUUGUCAUCAUAACACUUUCGGUUUAAUUAUAUUUCAAUUUACUAGUAAGGUUUCAUUGGUUUAGUAUGGUUAAAUUGGACUUAAGCAUUUUAGAUUAAUAAUUUAGUCUCAAUAAUUUAAUAGAAUAAUUAUCCUAUUGGGUUGGGUUAGGCUAUUGUAAAUGAUAACGGAAUUGACAUAGUAUUUAUGAUAUGAGGAAUCUAAUUAUGAUUUACAGUUAAAUAAGAAAUUAAAAAGAGAUAAAACGUCGUUGACAUCUUAGUCAACCCAUCGUGAUAUGAGCUUAUAUAAAUAUGAUUAUCCGAGGUACUUUCGAGGUGGAAACAUCAAGAUCUCGAGAUGAUAGAAUGUUUCAUGAAAUAUUCUAAAGAGAGAUAGCCUCUAAUCGUCUCCUCUUGGCCUCUUGUCUACGAGGGUAACUUGAAUGGCUAACCAUAAUCGUCUACCUUGGAUCCUUGCCUACGUGGGUGGAUAGGUGGAGGGUAGCAUUUAUCCUCUCCUUCUACCCCAAACAUCACAUGGUGGUCAUGUAUCAUAUGAAGAUUGGUUGAUGAUAUACUCCUUAUUAUUUGUUCCUCUCCUAAGGCAUGAUUCGAGGCUCUCACAAGAGGGGUCCAAAGUGUGAUGUCUAGUUCAUCCGACACAUCAAGCUUAUACCUUUUCGAUCCGUUGACUUGGUGGCAUGUUUAGUUCAUCGUGCUCGAGCAGUGGUGGUGGUGAUUCUGAUCUUCCCAUCUUUCGUAAAUUUGGGGGUCGGGUUUCUUGACCUCCAUGCCUUGAUGAAGUGAGGGUUGGGUUUCCCAACCUCCCCGUCUCCAACGAAGAUAGGAUCAGGCUUCUCGACCUCCACACCUCGGUGUAAGGAGGCAGGGAUUAGGUUUCUCGACCUUCCUAUCUCAAGCGAAGGCAGGGGUCAGGUUUUCCGACCUCCCCACCUCAAGUGAAGGUGGGGGUUGGGCUUCCCAACAUAAAGAGGGGUCGGGUUUCCUGAGCUCCUCGCCUUAUGUGAAGGGUAAGUUCAUUGGGAAACCUAGAUAGAGCAUCACAUAUACAGUGGAAGAAUAGAAAAAAAACCUCAAAUUUCCCAAAGAAAAAGAUUCUCGUUUUCGUGUGAAGAUUGGUGCGCAAACCAAAACACAAAACCAAAAUCGCAUGUGUCAAGUGAGAUUUGUUACAUAGGGAGAUCGUAUAUCCUUGUAAAGUCUCAGAUCUGUCGGAGUGGAUGAAUGAGGUUAACUAUCGUCCUCUCUAGUGGUGAUCCACAUGGUAGAUACGAUGAAGACGCUCCUCAAAUCGCUGCAUAAUCUUCCUCUCCAUGCACACCACGUGAUCAAGAAGGAGCCGACCCUUCUUGCUGUCCAUAUGCCUCAAACUGAGAUUGUCGACUGAGAAGGAGAGGGAGGGAAAAGAAUAUAAGAUAGUAGUAAAAAAUGGUCUAGUAUAUGCCCUUUUAGUUCCCUCGUAUUUAUAAAGGUCCUUGUAACUUAACUAUAAUGGAUCAUGUCCUAUUGGGUAUUGGAUCUUCAUCUAACUACUCAAGCUUAUUGAAUUAGUAGAUCGCUACUCAAUAAUCUCUUAUCGGCUCUUAUUGAAUCAUAUCCAUAAGAUUUAAUAAAUAUAAGAUAGGGGCUCCAACAGAUAUUUUAUAUUCGAACCUCUACUCGUCCCAACUGUGCAACCCUUUAAGCCCAAUAUCAAGCUAAUCGUGAGUUAUACCUGCCAGAAUUUUUUCUGACUUAGUGAAUUAUCAUCUCUUAUAAUAAUUCACUUGACUUAUCGACUACGGGCAUACUAUAUCACUAUACCGUAGUCCCUAGACAAUAUAGGGGAAUCCAAUCCAUUAAACUUAUCUAUCCUCAAUUAUCGUAUAUCUAUAGUCUCUCAUUCAUCUAAUAUCAUAGAGACUGUAUACUAUUUGUUGUAGUUGGAUCCACAAGGAAUCCCCCAUCGACUCUAUAAACUAAAUCUCGAAUUUAGAUAGGGUAAAAUGGUGGUAUAGUCCGUGGAAUCCCACAAUUGGGGAUUAAAGUGCCCCCUUGAUCGAUAGUUCGACGGGUGUCGGGCGUUCCUAGAAUAUUGGCACCACGUUAGGUCGGGGAACCUCGAUGGGUGUCGAUGCCGAAUGGGGUGGAGUUGGUGAUGACGACUGAGCUGGUGGCAUCGUAUGUUGGGUUAAUUGGGGUAAAAGCAUAGUAAUGGCAUGUAUCAUGUCUGUUAGCGUCUGCACUUGUUGAGUGAGAUUUAAGAAUACUUCGGUGGGAAUGAGCAAGAGGAUUAGGGUCAUCCCUCGGGGUGAGAGACUCAGGUUAUUAAAUCGAUGCUAGUAUCACAUCAAUAUCUACAACAAGGUGGAUGCACUCAUGUACGAAAAGGGUGGCUACAGCCCCAUUAGGUAAAAGUACAAUGGGUUAGAGGGUAAAGCCUUUUCACUCGAGCGUUCAUUAAGAGCAUUGACAAAUAAUCAUUAGGUCCUCCUUCUAGUAUGAAAAAUAUUGAGGGAUGAGAUCGUUGAGGUUCUGGUCAACCCAACAUGAUCCAGACCCAUAUGUGUAGGAUUGUCUGAUAUGCUUCAAAGGUUAAAACAUCGAGCCCUCGAGUAUAUGAUUUAUCUAAUCCCUCUAACACCCAAGUAUAUGAUUAUGGACGCGAGUAAUAAAAAAAACUCUCAUUUUUAUUGUGUCGAAGAUAAACUUUUAUAACUGAUCGUAAAGGGUAAAAUAUUUCAUGAAACAAUCUAUAGGGAGACGACCUCUAAACGUCUUCAAGAGUCUCCCCUUGGCAUGCUUAGUUGACAAGCGAAUGAUAUUCUGUCCUCUCAUUUUAUCCCAAACACCAUGUGACAGUCAUGUUAGAUGAAUAUUGACUAACAUUCAACUUCCUAUCAAUUACCAAUAUUAACUACGAGUCUUGAUUAUUAUAGUUUUUGUGGUUGCAAAAUGAAGAGUUGGCCAGUAAUGAACUGCAUUUUCCAGUACAACAAAACCACUCAAUUGCCAGUUCAUGACUGCAGCUCAUGCCAAGACAUUUGGUUUCCUUCUCAGGAAUAGUAUGGACUUGUGUGAUUCUGAAGUAAAUGCAGCAUUGAUCAGUUUCCACAUAUAUUUACCUCCGCUUUUUAUUAAGAUACAGUGGUAGAGACUCGGAAAAUGAAGCUCUUUCGACUUUUAGUUGGGAAAACUCAGCCUAUCAAUUCCUCUGAUCCUUGCAGAGUUUUAAUAUCAUGCAGAAUCACUGACAUGGCACCAUUUUUUGCAUGGUGAUUCUAUUUUGUCAAAGAAAUGUGGUUAAAACAACAUCCAACGGAUGAUGCAAACACUGCUGAAAAACACAUAAUACAUCUGGAAUAUUUACCAACUAUGGAAGACAAAAUGAUUCUAAGGUCUGAGAAGAUGGACAUAUCACCUUAUGAGCUACUACUCACUGUGCCAACUCCACUACAGCAUGCCAAAUCAUCCCUGUAAACAAGCAAGAAACAGGUCUCACAACUUAUCUGAGUUGGGGAGCACUGCAUUCGGACUGCAAUUGCUUACCAGUAGUUGAUAAGAACAGAAGAGUUAAAACUUCUCAUCGAUAGGAUACUGAAAGAGUAGAUGAGCUUCAGCUGCUGAAGGAUAAUUAUGAACAUUUAGAUAAACUACAGAAAGUAAGAUCGACUGAAUGCACACCUUCAUAUCAAGUGAAUUGGCCUCAAGUUUGAGAUUGGCGUCUGUAGAGCUAAGAUUCUAGUAGCGUGGCCUCUCUAAAAUCCUAAUAGCAAUACAUCAAAGCAAAAUUAACUUAGAAGCAUGAUGAGCAAAACAUGAGCGAAGAGGAUCUCUGAAUUCAACAGAUAUCCAAUCGUUUCAAGCUCUCCAUCGCUGUCGAUUCAGAUUCUUCCAGAUCCUUUGCAUCACGACCAUCCACAAAGUCCUCUAUCUGACUCAAAGGCUUCACUGCUGGGCAGGCCAGGGACGAGAUUGAAGGCUCAUGUGUCUGAAUUGAGGACAAUGGUUCCUUUACUAGAACUGGAACAGCUGGUGCAGUAACAGGUGACCGUUCAUUCACUGAGAGAGAUGCCGUAGCAACUGGCACUGAUUCUUUUACCUGAACAGGUAAUGCUGAUGCGAUAACUGGCACAAGAACCUUGUCCAAUGAAGGGGGUGAGACAACCGGCAAGGGUUCCUUCACCCGAACUGGGAUCACUGAAGUUACAGGUGGGAGUGGUGGUGGAGCAGAAAAGACUGGCACGGACUGUCUGAUGCGGACUGGGGAUGCCAUGCGGAUCUGUGUGUGACCAAUAACAGGCAGACGUUGUUGGCAUACCUGUGAUGGUGGUGGUGGAAGUGGGGGGGCUGAAAAGACUGGCACAGCUGUCCUUAUUGUCACAGGGGGUGCCAUGCCAUGGCAAGGCCGACCGAAGGGCCUAACUGGAAAAUAUGGUGCUGCUGCAGCAACAGGGAAGUUCUGGGGCCGCUCAUUGUGGUUCUCUUGGAAUGAUGAAUGAGCUCCAUCAUUUAUUCCACGAGAGGUUGCACGACCUCUUGGAAUAGAGUUUUGUCUGAUGAGAGGAAGGAUCUUCGAUACAGAGAGAGGAGAUUGAAGUGAAGCUGGUUUUUUAUCUAGCUGAACUGGGAACUUCUUUGGGAAAGGAGUUGCAUGGGGGUUGUUCGCCAUAGCUAUUUUUUCCUUGAGGCGGUAAUUGAGGAGAGCUCGAGCAAUCGUGAUCUGUUCCUGCUCAUCAUUGUUUUGUUCAGUUGACGAGCUUGCUGCUUCCUUCGCCACUGUAUAUUCAUGAAGAUGGUAUUAGAAAAUUUGAACAUUUACCAGCAGCAGAAGAUAAUAACCGAAGAAGAUCAGCAAUAUUAACAAAUUUGACAGAAUCAAUUUCAGAAGUCCUGAAAUCCAGCUGCAGCUGGAUCCACUUGUGAAGCAAGACUUACCACUUAGUCCAAGCCUAGUAAUGGGCCUGGAUGGACAGUAAGUUUGAUUCCUUUUAAUUUUCUUUAGGAUUUACCUUAAUCAAAACCCUAACCCCUCCCAAUGCCUCUCUCACGUGUGUGAUUCACCUAGCAUUGUCCGCCACCAUCCCCGCUCUAUCUCGUUGAUCCUCUCCUGAUAUAGAUCUGUAUAACGUAGAAAAGAUUGUGUUUUCUUUAGUAUCAUCUAUUUUGCAUGACAAGUACUGAUCCAAGAAACCUAGUGGCAAUCUGAAUCUUUCUUUCUGUCGAGUUCCUCAAGUUUCUUCUCAUCAUCAUUGGUCUGCAAAAGGAAUGCUGUUGUGACUGCAUGCAGCCAUACAACAGCCCUACAAAGGGUAGGUCGGCAGCCAUACAGCAGCCCUGCGAAGGGUAGAUCAGCAGGCAUGUUAUGCUGGUAGCCCUAUUCCCUGGCUGCCGACAUAGGACCUUGACCUGGCGAUGAUACCAGGAUAAUAAUGCCCCACUUGGUGGAGCGAGCAUGUAUCCCAACUCAUCCACAACAUAUGAUCUUGGACAUGCACAGGCAACACUUGUGCACCAUACACCCUAAAGGAAAUCAUGUCUCCCUUGGUCCGUGCUCUUCCUGCUUCCUUCAAAUAGUAUCUCUUAUUCUUGCACAAGGCUAUGAACACAGCAUCUGAGCAGCCACUAAGUCUUGCCUCCACCAUGGCCUUUGGAAGUGAUAUCUUCCACUCUCUUUGUACAGUCAAUUAUGUGCAUUAUAGUCAUUCACCAAGCUGCAAACUACCAUAACCUUGGCUGGCCUUUGUCCACUACAAUCCUAAAAGAGUGCAGCCUAAUGAGCAUGCCCCUUGUGUAGCAGUUGGGCACUUACGUUUUGACAUCAAGACUAAUGUAAUUUUGCAUUCUAGGAUUUCUUGAAAGUAAAGGUAGGCUUUCCAGAAACUAUCUUUCAGCCAUUAUAUUACAAGGAUGCUGUUGUACACCUUCUAUGGUUUAGUACACAUGAUCAUACACAUCAUUGUCAAAUGGACUAUCAUAUUGCUAUCAUCAAUGCACUUGUUAGUUCCCCUUAGUAUAUGGUGUUUCUCAUGUUGUCCCCACCUACACUUUUAUUUGUGGAACUUUAAGGUCUAAUUUUAGGGUGUGAUCCAUUAUGGGAUGUAUGACCAACUGCAGGGCCAUCCCAAUUGCAUGCACAAGAUUUACAAUCUAACAUGAAGUCACACUGUGGCUUUUCCUCUUGGUCAUUUGAAGCACAUAUCAUGCUUAAGUGAUAAUUGCACUAUUGACUUACAUUCCUACUGAUAAAUCUAUGUUAUCUCAUAAAUGCAUGUACAUGUUUGAUGCAUCGUAAGUGAUCGAUGUUCCUACAUCCCUAUUGAUGCAUUUAUGGAAUCUUGCAUAUGCACAUGCAUAUUUGAUGCAUGAUUGACAGACAGAUGAAUAAUCUACUUAGGUUAGAUGUGAGAUAUCCAUGUAAUUGUGCCCUACAUGAUAGGAGCUUCGGGCCCAUCAUGCAACGAGUAGCACCCACUGGAUCGAAUCCCCUAUAUCAUCCUCCCAAUAUGAUUUGUUGUCUUGUGAUUAAGUACCUGAUUGAGUGAGCUGAUGGUACGAUGACAUAAUCAUACAAUGAUAAUGAUGAAUGAUGACAUGUUAUAAGAUGAUAUGUGGUUCUGAUAUGAUAAAAGGACCUGGAUAAUCCUUGUCAAUUACAAGAGAGCCAAUAUAUUGGAGGGUGAUUCCCUUCGGGGAUUAGCAGGCUAUCAGACGUGGUAGCUAGAUGAUUCAUCCAUUUGAUGUUGGAAAGAAUGUGUCUCUACUUUGGCAAAUGAGGGACAUUACUCCAGCUACUAUUGGGAGUGCAAUAUGAGUUCUCUAUCAUGGAAGAUGAACUCAUCCCGUUGGAGUAAAACCUUACUAUAUGCUAUUGGGAGAGCGCACCUUCAGGUGUCCAACUUUGCUUGGAUAUUGAUGAUAAUAUGUAUAGAUAAUUGAAUUUUGUACAUAUUAUGUUGUAUUAGCGCAUGUGGCAAUUAUAAGACUUAUUAUAUGGUCAUUCUCCAUCCGUUAUUGAGAGAAGUAUUCAUUAGAUAUUCGACUUGAAUGUCGAAUCUUCAUGAAGUGCACAUGUAUGACUGACCAUAUUUAUAGAUAAUAUUGCAUGAAAGCAUAUUGCAUGUAUUCUUAUGAUCUACGCAUGAUCCCUAAUUACUCAUAUGAUUUUGUACUCUUAUUCAUUGUUAUAUGACACAUAUCAUAUGUACAAUUAAUUCAUUAUGACAUUUAAUCAAUAUGUUAUUGUUAUUAUUUUAUUUGAUAAGUAUUCCCCACUAAGCAUUUAUGCUCACCCAAAAUUACUUCCGCAAAUUACAGUGUAGAUUGUUUCAAGAUAGUAUGAUGAUAGUUUCAAGUUGGCGAACCAACUGGAGUGACUAUUGAGGGAGUAUCGAAGAUGAGGUGAUAGUUAAGUCUGAUAAAUAAGAUAAUUAUUUAUGAGAUUAUAUUAAGAAAUAUAUAUAUAUACAACUCUGAACAAUAGAUUUUUGAAGAGGGGUUCACGCACGAUACGAUUUUCUCGACGUAUGAGUCAAUUCGUACCAGGGUGUGACACUGUCGACACUACCUCAUCCUCUUCUUCACUGUCGCCUCCACCCUUAUCAGCUUCUUUGUUGCCUCUUGCCCCCUUGUACCUCAAUAUGCUCCUAUGUACCAUGGGUUGGUAUGCCUUUACAAAAUGGAUCAGAUCCAUAUUGGUCUGGCCAUGGACUGACACAUGUUUUGAUAUUCGAAAUUAAACACCUUGCCUUAGAAAAGGACAAAAUACAAGCAUCAACUAGGAGCAUCAAGAAAGUUCAUUUUUCUUUUUAUUCUUUCUUCUUUUAUUUUUCCAAAUAUUACUAGAACAAAUUUCUUCAAUGGCUAACAAUAUAACUCAUGAAAUUCCAAACUAACCUCUUUAGAUAAAUAAGUGUUUUUAUUUGCAAAUAAUCACAUAUAAUUAGUCAUUUAAGCAGUUUUGAGUUACACUUAUGCUUAUUAUGUCUUCCAUAUCUUUGGCUUCUUACUAGUUUCAGUUCUGUAAAAGAGCAUCUAAUCUCCCCAUCAAGCAUGCAAUUGAGGAUUCACAUAACAAGCAAAUCUAUAUCAUUGUAAGCAUGCCAGAAAUAACAUGUUAGUGACUCACAUCGUUUCAAUGAUGACCAUGCUGCCAAAGCAGCAUUUUUUUCUGCCUGCUUCUUGUUCUUAGCAGGUUCGCCCGUAAACGUGAUUCCAGCAAGUUCCACUGUGCAUGUAAAGACAGGCAGGUGUCCCAGACCUGAACGCACAGAGGUAUAUGAUGGCAAAGGUGCCCCAACUCUCUGGGAAAUUUCCUGCAGGAGGUUCUUAUAAACCCCUGUCUCAUCCUGUUAAGACAUCAUAAUCAAUACCAAAAAUUAAUGAAGAUUAUUUCACAGAAUUUAGAAAGGAUAAGUUCAUCUGAAAAGCUUUCAUUUAUGCUGUAUCUUUGGCACUAGUAACAGGUUAGAAGGCCACAUAUUGUCUAUGCUACAGAGUUAUAUUGACUGUCACACAAGCCUACUCAAGAGAGAGCUCAAGUUCGUACACUUUGAGUUGGUGUGAUAUCUUAUUUAAUGAUGACCACAGUCAACGGACUGCAUAAGCAUAUAUUAGAGCCUAAAUCAUACUGAUGCAAAAAAAAAGGUAUACAUGAUACAAGCACAGUUACAGCAGCAAAACAAAGGUAGACGUGAUACAAUUACAGCUAAAGCAAUUUGCGAUACUAAUAUUUAUAAUUCUGCAGAUGAAAGGCACUCGAUUGAUCUGGCCAAAACCUAGGAAACUCAGGUAUGCAGUUUCCUAGAGCAGACACUAAGAAGUACCAACACUGACCUGCAUUACUUGGUGCUAUCGAGAGUAUAACAAAGGGGAUAAAAGGUACGACAGAGAAUACAAUGUGUUUCCUAAAUAUAAGUUACAACAUUAGCUAAGACUCAUGAUAUAUUAUAGCUUAAUCAUGAACUUAAUCCCAUCCAUGGAACCUUCUGAACUUAGAAUCUUAGUGGAAAAGGCUUCACCAAGAAGAUGAAGGCUUCUACAAUCCAUGUGGUAGGUUGGCAAGUUGAAACCCAGAAUUUUGCUAAGCACAAAUAAAGUUAUUGCAAUGCUUAUUCUAUUAUGUUCGAUGUUCUUCUGCCUUUAAUCACCUUUAAUGUUUGCAAGACAUGAUGAGAAAAAUAAUCACCUUUAAUCAUAUUUAUUGUUCUUCGUCUGAAAAACAAUAAAGGAUAACAAAAGCUUCUAAUCAUUUUAAAGGUUCAAAGCUGCUACAGAAACAAUCAUGACAAUAAUCACCAGAUCCACAAUAAUUCUACCUACAGGUUGGUUGACCAAAAGACAAUUUGUCGACCUUCUUCCCACUUGGUAGCUGCAAUCCACUUGCAUGCCCCCGUGGUGUGUUUAGGUGCGGCAACCAAAAUUCAAAACCACAAGUCUCAUGUUCCCACCAUUAUCUCAAAAGGUUAGCCCCUUAAUCGUCACUUAUUUCUAUACACAUGAAUCGACGACAGACUCGUACAGAAUCAAAAGAAGAGUCAGCAUUCAUACAGCAGAAUUAACAAAGUUAUUAGUACAUCAAAACUAGACAUCGGUUGGAAUAAAAGAUUAAACUGGAGCCAGAACAGCUGAUUAUUAUAUACCACAUACAGGUCGGUAAACCUAUAAGACAAAGAUUGAGACGAAUAUAAUAACAUGACACGAAACCCGAGACGCUGGCUGAGAAGCACGGUGAUGUUUCGUGACAAAAACGCACCUUUACCUGGGGUUUCCAAAAAGUCUUUGAUCGUUAUGUUUGGACUAGUUUAACAACGCAAAACCCUAACGGAGAACCACGCGCAAGAAUCCAGAUAGGUAGAUAAGGUUCGUAGAAGUAAAACAAGUGGUCUGUGGUAAGCGAGAACAAAAGGGGAUUAUUCAAAGGACGAUGACUCCGUCGCCGUGCCGACGAAGCUUGCCUUAACUAAAACCCGAACCAAACGAAGGAACGAAAAGGAAGAAGAAGAAAGCGAGUCAAUUCAUUACCUAGAAAAAAAUAUCCCUUUCUUUUCUUUCUUCAUUUGUCCCUAAAGAACCAAUUUUUGUUCGGUCUAACGGAAACAAAUGAAGAAGAAAGAAUCACAAUUUUGAUUUUUUUUCCCCCAAAGUUACUUUAUCGAUUAAUUGAAGUUCCUACUCAAUAUAACAAUGAUUGCUUAAAAAAACAACUUUAUGAAGCUGCAAAAUAGAACGGAAGUGCAAAACACGGAAGGGAAAAACAUGAACUUUUUUCACCUAAUUUUGUGAGGUGAGGACGAAGAAAAAAAAAAUCGAUUUUUUUUAUGGUUUGGUGUAUGGAUUGACGAGAGAAAGAGGGGAGGAGAGGAUAAGCCACCGGGUACUGACCAGGAUCCGAGCGGCGAGGGAGUGGGAGGGACCGCGGUGGGAUAGGGCGGCGAGAGCCACCUCCGCCGCCGAGUGCUCCGCCUGCCGCAGCGUGGUGCAGAAGCUCGGGCUCUCAAACACCUCGCCGUUGAAGUUCACGGCCGCCUUGAACCUCGGCGCGUGGUCCGGCCCCUCGCGUAUGCACGUGUACGACGGCAGGUUGAAGCAGCUCCGCUGCGCCAGCUCCUGCAGCUGGUUCUUAUACAUCCUCGCCCACGCUCCCGCACUCCCAAGGAGCCCCACGGGAAGAUAUCACCCUCCGAUGGCGGACACGACGCAAGAUCCAGCCUCCCACCCCUUCUCCAGCAGCACCUCUGUCCCUCCCGGCCAAACUUGGCCGACGCCGCCGGACAAGAUCCGGAUCCGCGCGGCGCCGCCACCGAUGAGCAAAGUCACCUCCUCCUGCGUUUUCCAGGGGAUCCCGCCGGAAUCUAGCGCUCCGUCGCGACGCCUCCUAAUAGGGUUUUCCCCUCUCCCUCUCUCUCCUGGUCGUCGUGGAACAGAACAGAGAGAUCAACUCGUCUUGCGCGCAUCUAAGACGAAAAGCAACUAAAACGCUUACCAUUUUUCCCAAAACCUCUCUCUCUCUCUCUCUCUCUUUCUCUCUCUCUCAUAGAUAUAUAUAUAUAUAUAUAUAUAUAUAUAUNNNNNNNNNNNNNNNNNNNNUAUAUAUAUAUAUAUAUAUAUAUAUAUAUAUAUAUAUAUAUAUAUAUAUAUAUAUAACAAAAAUUGGCUUUGCAUGAGCACCACAUUUUUUGAAAUUAAGUCAACACCACUUUGACUUCAACUAAAACCUAAUUUUAUAUUUAUAUAUAAUUAUCAUGAGUUUUAUGGAUGCAAGUUGAAUGUUAUUUCCUGUGUUGACAUGAUUGAUGUGGGGAUGAUGAUGAUGAUUGAUGAUGCAUGUUAUGUUAUGGUGGUAUGAUAUGGUGAGACAAAUAAGUAAUUGGAAGGAGGGAAAAGAGUCGCAGCAAUUCUCACCGCCGAGAAGCCGCACAUUGGAAUGAAUCUCCGAAGCCGACGGCACUUAGCCACUGGCGGCGACUCCCGGUGAUCGUAGGCGAACCUUAUUCGACCCACCUCUGUUCAUCAACAUGGAUUGGUCUCUCUUUACAGUAUUUUUCCGGCUUUGUUAUCUGUGUAGUGUUGGAAAAAUAGAAAGAAAAAAGAGUGGUCAGCAUCAGAAAGAGGAAAAAGAUGCAGUCAGUAAUCAUGGAUGUGGUCUUCAUUGGAGUGCUUGUGGCCAGUAGUGGGGUUUGCAAUUCCGAAAGGUCAACCCAACCCACGCACUGCGACGGUCCUUACAAGACAUAAAUCAUGACACGGCUUUGUCCCAUCAAUGUUGGGGUCAGCUAUCUCCCCUUUCGCUCUCCUCAUUACUCGUCCUUCUUCUCUUCCUACAUUGAUAUGGGGGCAUCCAUCAUCUCCGGUGCUAUCUUCCGCGGCUCUUGGCCUCAAUUCAAGGUUGAUAAGCAUCUCAGGACGAUGUGCCAUCAUCCAAUCCAACUGUCACAGAAAUGGCUGGUUUAGUGACGCUGUUAAAUUUGCAGAAAGGGAUAGCUCAACAAGUCACAGCACCCAACCAGACUCAAACAAACGAAUAUUACUGCCUGAUAUCAUUGAUCACGAACAAGUGUUCUUUUAAAUCUCAAACCAUAGUUGGGAGUUAUUAGACUCGACGACGACGACAACAACAACAACAAGCAUCCAUUACCAACUAUUUGGAUUCAGUAAAAUGGAACCUCAAUCAUGUCUAGUGAAGCCACGAUCCACAUUGUCAUACUAAGCAGUCUCUUGAGUGAGCAACGAUCCAUCGGGCGCUGCCGGAACAAUUUGUUGCUGGAGGGCUGGAUUAGAAGGAAAUAAUCCACAUUGUGCUGUGUGCGCCAUCAGUUGAUCCAACAGCACCAGAGCUACCAUGGCUUCUACCAUCGGAACGGCUGAAGAACAUCAAAUAAGUCCUCGAUGUGAAUGUUAAAUUGGAGCAAACCAGAUGAAGGGAUGGAUUGGAAAUGAAAUCAGACCUCGAGGGACUACACAGGGAUCGUGGCGGCCUCUUGCUAUAAGCUCAGUUUCGUGUCGGUCUCUAGUUACUGUAUUCUGCUUUUUCUGAUGAAAUGGACAAAUCAUAAUAAGAUGCAUAAUACAACUAAGAAACAAAUGUAUAUAAAAGUACUUCAACGAUGAGCCUACACUAAGGGAUUUCACUGUUGCAUUGUGUUACUCCCACGACGGAGUACAAAAUUUGCUUUCCACCAAGGAUAUGAGAUGGUUAUUGAAAUGAAACCAUUUAUUCAGAAAAAAAAGGUAAGAUUUUGUUUCCAUUUUAACAUCACAUAAGGGCUAAAAAUCGUUAAUUCAACAGAGAUCAGAGAGGCGCAUGGAAUGUCAUUUAUACUAACAAACAUACGUUGAUUUAAAGCCAGCUUACCCCAAUUGUAGAUGUUGGUUUAAAAGCUAUUCUCAUAUAUAUGGUUUCACCAUUGGAUAUCCCUCCCUGUAAAGAGGAAUCGUUAUAUUUCAGAAAGCCAGAGUAUAGGCAAGGUCAAACUCCAUAAAAAUGUAGAUAAUUAACACAAAGACAGACAGACCUGUAUACCGCCCGAUCGAUUUGUUCUUGUUCGCACAUUGCCAAGCUCAUCCAUGUAGAACUCAUCGUUAUGCUCACUUCCAGUCAAAAAAGUACCUAAAAGGUGGUUUUGAGCCAAUAACAGAGAGAAAACAAUCAAAAGAUCAGAUGCUUACAAUGGAAAUGCUGAUGAAGAUAUCGAUGGUGUUAGUAGAGCAUCAGACAAGAUAAUGCCGGUCCACACUCCAUGAUUACUUACCUGCAAAUCCGCUGCCAAACUCAAAUCCCUUUGUUGCAGGCAGAGACAACAUAGCUUUUGCCAAAUCAGCCUCCAGUUUAUCAAAGACAGGACACCCAAGUCCCUGAUAGAUAUCAGUGGAUGAGUUUGAGAAAUAUAAGAAAACACAUCCAGCAAUUAAGUUUUCCAAUUAAUCCAAGUCACAAAGGACAGAAUACUUCAAAUCAUAGGUGAAAUAAUUACACGUGGAACAUUUCUUGCAAUGCAAGUCACGAUGCCACCAACAGAUUCUCCUUUAACUCGCACAGCAUCAAUGGCCUCAAUCAUCUUCUGAGCAUAUUCUGGAUCCGGGCAUCUGACUAUAUUACUCUCAAUCUGGUAAUUUUUCAGCAGAAAUGCAGUCAUUUAACCAUAAUACUAAAGGGAAAAAAAGAGGAAUAAUAUUUUGAAGAAUUGAUCGACAUUAUACCUCAUCAAGGGUCACCGUCUCAUUAUCAACAACCCCUUCAGGAAGCACAACUUUAUGAACUUGAGAAACAUAUGCUAGGAUCUGUGGGAAAGGAACAAAAGUGAUGUUAAAAUCAAAUAGACCUAUAACCAUUAUGCAACCACCGAAGCAUUACGUAUUUUCUAACUGACAACCACUGCAGGUGGAAGCAUUGAAACCAGUUAAUUAGCAUGUUCAUAUAACCAUGUUAGAUGACCAUAUUAUGCUUGAACAGAUUAGAUACGGGAAACAAUGGUGGGAUGUACAAGGACAGUGACAUAGAACUUCAGAUCUGCACAUCAGACUUAGAAUCAUUCAUGAUAAGGUAAUUGCAAUUGCUUGCCGUUCACAGUACCCGACAAAUUGCAGAAGCCUGAAGUGCACCUUAUGCACUUUUAUCUGCAAACUUAAUAUCAUAAAAUAUUUUAAUAGUUUACACCGACAAAGAACUGGUUACUUCUAACUGUAUUAUGGAUAUUCAGAACACACACACUACAAAUCAUACUGUCCAAAAACCAUGCCUACUCUAUCCUGGCCAGUAUUCCAGAGCACAAUAAACAGAGGAUGAUCAACUUUCAAGCAGCAUUAACCGAUAUAUGGGGUAAAGGGCAGAGAAAUCCAGAUAACUAAAAUCUCCAAUUCAAGAAUAAGAUAUAAAAGCAAGUGUGAGAUCAACGCAUCAUAAGUGUAUGAUAGGUUACCUACAGCAUAAGUUCAACUUCAGAAUUUACGAAAAAACAUGUGAACAUAAGACAACACAUAAACCCACCUCAGUUCCAGCAUACAUUUUAAGAAUCUUCUUUGCAAGAGCUCCAGCAGCAACUCUACCGAUGGUUUCUCUUGCUGAUGAUCUGCCACCUCCCUAUAGUUCCAUUUCAGUAAACAUCAAUUGUGGAUAUUUGAAGAUUAUCAUGAUAAAUAUCAACGAAAAUAGACAUUUCAUGAGUAUAAAACAUAUACUACAGAGUACAGACUGGACUCUAAGACUAUUUAAAGAUACGAUAGCAACAAGAAGGAACAUCUGUUACCUGUAUCGCUCUCAGACCAUACUUAAAGUCAUAUGUUGCGUCUGCAUGAGAAGGCCUAUAUGCAAUUGACAUUUCACUAUAGUCCUGCAAAAAUCAAACAUGAGAUUAUUAUAAACGAAAAGAAGGUAAAUAUAUAAACAUAGCUUCCAACCUCAGGAGGGGAAUCAUGCUAAGUUAGAUUUGACUUUUAUUUGAUGGCUUUUUUAUUAAAACCAUGAAGCAACAGUACUAGAUGAAACUUUCAGGUGUUGACUGAACUGUUUUGUAUCUGAAUGAAUACAAUAGUCUUACUGUCACAGCAAGAACUCACAUGUCCUCUUUGAUCUGUAUUUGGUACAAAAACACAAAUUGAAGUUCCAGUUGUCGUUCCUACAAUAAAAAAAAUUCUUACAUCAGCAAACUAGAGCAUGCUAAUUCAUAGGGUUAUGUUAUAUGAUAGCAGAACAACAAAAGGAAAGAUUAAAAAAAAACAAGAGAAAACCGUGUGACCUACCUUCAAAUAGUCCCGAGAGAAUUCGACAUGUAUCAGUUUCCUUCCUUGGUGUGGUUAUCCUGCUCUGACCUGGUCUCCUGGAGGUCAAACAUAAAUGUUAAACUAAAUCACACCCAGUCAAAUGUAGUGAAAACAAAAUACACGGAAAGGACAGAGUAAGUGCCAGUAAAGCUCCAAACCUUCUGUCAAGUUCAAAUUGCAAAUCCUCUUCAGAAAGAGGAAUUCUAGGGGGGCAUCCACUAAUAAUACAACCAACACCACCUCCAUGAGAUUCUCCAUAGGUUGUGACUUCAAAGUGCUUUCCAAAUUUAUCUCCACCUGCCCGCACCUCUGUCCUUUUGAAAAUCGACUUUCCAGUUAGAGUUUAGAACAUCAGUAAUUAAAUAUAGAAUACAGCCAUCUUUAAAUAAGUUAACAAAUGAGAUUUUGAAUGCCCAUUUCCAAGGAACGACAAACAACAAUCCUGGUAGGAAAACUACAUAGCAUGUGCAAUCAAAUCUAACACGCUAUGUCAAAUGGACAAUAUAUAUGAUACAAGCAUUUAGAACGUGGUAACGGAUGCAUACAUCAAUAAUAAAUACGGCAGCAGCUAUGGUCAGCAACAGUAAGUAUUAGGUGGUGGAAAGAACGGAAUCUCCUCCGUCGCAUAAGCUUCCCCAACUUCUUUAAUUAUACUCUUAAUUUUGAUCUCCGAAUAUACUAUCAACCCCACACCCUUCUUUAUCUAAUGCAAGAAAUGUUUGCGAGCAUAUUCCCAACAUCAAGCUGAGGAAAUAAAAAGGGAAAAUGCCUCUAACAGAAUUUUAGCCUCAAAAAGACAUGAUCGACCGAUCGGCCAUCAAAUUCACAAAGACUGGCACUCAAGAAGCAAAGAUCUCUCUUUUUCCCUUUCACAAAGACAGCAAGAUACUAUGAUCAUCAUCAACGUAAGGAAACCAUAGGAAGACAGGUAAGGGGUGGGAGGAGGAAAAAAGAUCACCGAGCCUUCGAGGAGCAGGGGAAAUCCGCCGCCGGAUGGAGAUCUGGUCGACGGUGGAGGGCAGCCGGAAGGCGAGGCCGGACAAGCCGUCGGUUCUCGAUCCCCCGAGGAAGGGUUUCGAAGAAGGCAAGGAAGCCGAAGCCGCAGACGCCAUCAAUGGACCUGCUUCUCUCUACCUUCCCUCCACCUGCGAGCUCGGGGCGGAUAAGCUAUAUAUCAGGGAAGAGAAACCGAGCGAGGGCCGCCGUUCACCCACCAACCCCCAGCCGCCGUGGAAGAAGGGGCCCACAUCCUUGGUUCAUUUCCUCGAGCCACAAAUCCUCCCGAACCGAACCAUAAUUAAUCGGAUGGGUCGGUCUGAAGAACAAGGGCUGAAUCUACCACGUGAGUCACGUGACGGGGCGAGGACCCGCCGUACCGACCACGCGGGUCGGAUAAGUGUGUUUUCCCUGUACAAUCCGACGCAGGGCACACGGCAUUCGUAGCCUCGAAUAUAAGAAAACAAUGGGACCCAUCCAUCAUACUUAUUGCCGACACGCGCAUCUCCUCGUUUUCGUGUUUACCUGUUCGGGGCGAGGCAGGGACCAUGGCCCUUCUCCGGCGCCGACCCCGGACCAAGGCUUGGCUCUGUCAUCGUGUCGUGCCAACCUUACGUUCAAGAACAAUAAAAAAACGUGGAUCACGUGUCACUAACAGCGGGGCAUAAGCGUGAUUGUACACUCACCACAGCUACUAUAUAUGCGUGGGAAUAUGGGGGAGAUGAAACCUUCCUCGGCACGUGAAUUGAGGCUUUCAUCUAAAUUGGCGGAGCCAACGUCAAGUGAAGAGAUGAAUGGGCUGGUAACACUGAUACACUAGUGAUGCAUGGUGAUGAUCAAAUUAGCUAGUAGAAUGAUACACCAGUCUCAAAGUCCAUCGACGACAGAUGAUCGAGUUAGCGAGUAGAACAGCGUGUAAGAAGUUAGUGAUGCUCAAAGGACUUCUCAAUGUCUUCAUCGCUCACUUCAACUUACAUAUUAGUCGGUAUUCAAUUGCUUGGUUAGGACGUUGGUGUUCAAAGAUGAUGGCAGGAGCGAGAAAAAAUGAGAGAAUUCUGCAGCUGCUGCUGCUUCGAAAACAAAAGUGGGCUUGCUUCGACAGCUACAGGUUAUGUAUGAAUCAUCCGUCAAGCAACUACCGACUUCCCUUAAAAUCACUAGAUGCCUCUUUUAAAAUUGCUAACCAAAAUCUACCAAAAACAUAUCAUUUUCUACCCAAAAGUCCUCAAUCUUAAAUUGCACACGCAAUAUAAACCAUCAGUGUCAGAUGAAAAAUAAUAAAAGUAGAAAAAUUUAAUAUAUAUAUAUAUAUAUAUAUAUAGAACCGAGCAAUUUAAUCUGACUUGGUGUAAAUAUCAGAAACAACACAUUCCAUUGCACUUGAAUGAAUCCACAUGAUUAUCCAAUUGAUCAACCAUGCGAGCUUCAAAAGUUAAAAAGCCUAAUUGCAUUACCAUAUCCACCAACAAACUUCUGACUAUAUUAAUAUGAACCCUUGUUGAUGAUAAGAACAACUCUCAAACUAAUUCUUUAGAUUCUUCUUUGGAAUCAAGCCGCUUCAUCCAAUUUCCUUAGAAAUCGUGCAUAUCUAUCUAUAGAAAGGUCCCUACAUGUUAUAUUUCAAUUCGAAGAAGGUACUCAUGGUUUGUAAGCUCUCCAUCUUAUUAAAGCACUCAUGAGUCUUAACAUUGUUUGCAUAGGGUAUACUCUAGCACUGGAUUAAUAUGCUCACCCAUACCACCACAUUUUCAAAGUAAAUACAAAUCCUCAUGCACAGGAAUAUCGAAUAUAUUACCUAGAAAAUGUCAAAUAUAUAUAUGUGAUCAGUUGGAAUUAUGUGUUGUACUUCGAUCACACUCAAUCAGCAUAUCAUUUUGACCAAAAAACUUGAUAAUAUUUAUUAUGUCAGAAAGAAGUGUACUAGUUCUAAAUAUAAACAAACACAUAAUAAAAGAUGAGAUGGUAUUGUCACUAGUAAAGACAAUCAGAGAAAGACUGAAGAGAAGUAUAAGAAUAAUGAUAUGGUCAAUAAAUCACAAAAGAGUUAUCAUUACACCUUCAAUAUGAAGAAGAAUUCAGAAAAGUAACUGAGAUGCCUAAGAAAGUCAAAGUAAUUAGCAUUGAGAAACUUGCUGCUGAAAUUUAGAUAGAUAAACAUGUUAACCGAGCAGAAGGGGCAACACUAUCGCUGACUUUUUUACUGCUUCAAGAAAACUUAUACAACAGGAUAUCGUCAAAGAGGAUUUGAUCAAAGUGUUAAACUCUCAUAUAAUAGUAAACCACAAUAUAUACCAAUUAUUUGGUAUAUCCAAAGAGAUAUUUUCCCCACGAUAAACCCUGGGUUGGGUGAGAGACAAAUCAAAUGUUGGUCAAGUGGGUAAGACCAUAUUAUGGAUGGCUUAAACUAAAAAUGGAUGGAGGGGCUUGAUCUCACACUGAUAUGGAAAACUAGGAAUGAUAUGAGGGUCACUCAAGACUAAAAUAGAGCUAUAUGGUGUGUCCUAUUAGGCCAUUGCUUAUGAUUUAAGAUACAAUAAACCCCACAAGUGACAAGUCUGAAGGGUUAGGUGAAAGAGAGGGCAAAUAUUGAUUGGGUGAGUAUGACUCUCUUCUGGAUGGCUUAAACUAAACAUAGUGGGGCUUAUUCUCACAUUGAAAGCGAUCAAGUUGUAAGGCAUUUAAUCAGAAACUCUGAUGGUCAAGGAGUAAGGCAUUCAAUCAGAAACUCUAAUGGCUGAGCAAGGCAUUUAAUCAGAAACUCUAAUGGUCAAGGAGUAAGGCAUUCAAUCAGAAACUCUAAUGGUCAAGGNNNNNNNNNNNNNNNNNNNNAUGGUCAAGGAGUAAGGCAUUCAAUCAGAAACUCUAAUGGUCAAGGAGUAAGGCAUUUAAUCAGAAACUCUAAUGGUCAAGGAGUAAGGCAUUUAAUCAGAAACUCUAAUGGUCAAGGAGUAAGGCAUUUAAUCAGAAACUCUAAUGGUCAAGGAGUAAGGCAUUUAAUCAGAAACUCUAAUGGUGAUUGUUUAAUCUUUGGUGGCAAAUAUGUGCCAGAGAGCUAAUGGUGAUUGUUUAAUCAAUGGUAGCAAAUAUGUGCCAGAGAGCAACAAUAAGCACUGUGAAGCAAUUGAUAUGGGGGAAGGUCUCCAAGUUGCUAUUGCGGAAAUGAUUUCUAAGCUGCAUGCAAAGAGUGAUGCGGCUUAUGUUGUAAGAGUAGUCAAUCACAUGAAAUUAUAACGUGUAUAAAGACAUUUUUGACCUGAUAAGAAUAUUUUAUAUAAUCAACUUAUCUCAUGUACAUUGAGAGGCAAACAAAGUGAACAACAAUAUUUUUGAGAUUAUAGAUGUAAAGGGAUUGUCUUCUCUCGUAUCACAGGAGGAUUUUGUUAUAGGACUUUGUAUCAACAUAGUUCUAAUUUUUGAGAAAAAUAAUAUAGUUUGAAUUCUAAAAAUUAAAACUAUGGUAAUUCAAAUAUCUAUAACAAAAUCCUCCCCUUACUUCAGAAUAGACAAUCAGAAAGAGCUUUAAGUAUCAAUCUGUGCCACAAAAAAUGGACUUAAAAGUCAUAGCAAAGCUGACCAUCCAGUUGACCGCAUAUACAUGAGAAAAAUUGGUUGUAUCAAACAUUCUCAUUAGAUUAAAAAUAUCUUUGUACAUAUUGAUUUGUUAUAGCCGCAUCACUAUCGACCUGCAGCUUAUAAAUCACCUCGUAAAGAUCUUCCUGCAUAACAUUUACUUCACAAUCCUGACAUUGUCCUUUGGCAUAUACUUGCCACAGAGAUUAAACUAUCACCAUUAGAGUGUUUGAUUAAAAGCUAUCCCUUCGGUGUGUUCGGUAUGAGAUCAAGCCUCAAUUAUGUUUAAUUUAAGUCAUCAAGAAUAGGAUCGCAUCCACCUAGCCAAAAUUUGACCUAUCUCACCCAACUCUUCAAACUUGUGGAAUCACAAUGGUCUUAUAGAACAGACCAUUUAGCUUUGUUUUUGUCUACAUACCACUCAUAUCAUUAUUAGAUUUCCGUAUUAAUCAUAAUCCAUUAGCAAUCAAGUCUAUCAGACUCGAAGCAUUUCAGUGAUAACUCUCUUAUGAUUGAUGAACCAUAUCAUUAUUCAUAUUUUCUUUUUGAUCUUUCUCUUAUUGUCUUUGCUAACAAUACCAUCUUUUGUCGAGUGUUUCUUUAUAUAUAAAGUUAAUACAUCUUAUAGGGUAAUAGAUGUUAUCGAGGUUCUUGAUCAAAAUGGUUUGAUCAUGGUACUUGAAGAUUAUAGUAUGCCUAUGGAAAAACAAUUAUAAUAGACCUUAAAAAAGAAGAAUGAUAUAACUUGUUUCAGAAGGCAUUCACUGAAAAAUAAUAAUAAUUUAUCACAAAGCAUUAAAUUUAUUAAACACUUCACCACCAAGAAAUCACAAAAGGAUUAUGAUCAGCAUAAGACAUUCUAAAUCAAUUUGCUGGUAGCCAGUCAGAUAUAUCACAAUCUGUAGAUAGAUGUCACAAUUUGUUCUAAAAUGCUUCAGGUUAUUAAUGUUUCUAUGGUAAUAACGAUCAAGAAGCAAACCAUCAAGAUUCGGCUGAGGUGGACUCGUCAUCUUUGUGCUUCAGCACGCCGGAGUCCACAAGAAUCGGCACCUCGGCGGCGAGCCACGGCGCGAGGCCCAGGCAAAGGGCAUGCGCAAUUCCAAACCUAGGACUGUGAAUCAACAAAUAGAUCAUUCACGAAGCCAAAAGAAAUAGGAGGUACCGAUGAAUCGCGAUCAGGAGGGAGAAGAAGGGAGGGUAAAUCAAGUUCUUUACCAGUUCUUGGCCCAAAGGGGCUUGAAGUGAACGGUGAGGCAGAUCUUGCCUCCCCUGUACAUCUUGUGGGUCUUUCCGUCGAGCUGGGGGAGCUCGAUCUCGGGGGCGGUGGCGGGGUAUGUGACGGGGAUGUCGAACUGGAGAGCGAACUCGUAACGGCGGAGGUUGUGGACGUACCAGCAGGUGCCGGACCAGCGGGUGCCCUCGGGGUUGGCGGCCGAGAUGCGGAACCAGUCGUUGUCGUGGGACUUGUUCAUGGUGGUGUAGGCGAUCAGGGCGCGGUACUCCUCCUUCAGCCGCUGCGUCCACGCCGCCCCGUCUCGCGGGCCCGCCCGCGUCGACAGCAGCGGGAUCUGCGUCAAAGCCGACUUCGUGCUCGGAUCCCAGCCCUCCAUCUCCUCCCUCCUCCUCCUCCCCUUCUUCGCCUCUCUCUCUCUCGAUCAAGAUCAAGAAAAUUUAUAGGGUUUGGACGAGAUGAAGUCGCUUCGGGAGAGGAAUGUCGGAGCCGACGGCGUCGAGCGUUGAUAAUACGCGACCCAGCACUCUCGUGCAACGCACGUGAUCCUAUUUAUUAGCGUUCGUGGGAUAGGACUAUAUAUAUAUAUAUAUAUAUAUAUAUAUAUAUAUAUAUAUAUAUAUAUAUAUAUAUAUAUAUAUAUAUAUANNNNNNNNNNNNNNNNNNNNNNNNNNNNNNNNNNNNNNNNNNNNNNNNNNNNNNNNNNNNNNNNNNNNNNNNNNNNNNNNNNNNNNNNNNNNNNNNNNNNNNNNNNNNNNNNNNNNNNNNNNNNNNNNNNNNNNNNNNNNNNNNNNNNNNNNNNNNNNNNNNNNNNNNNNNNNNNNNNNNNNNNNNNNNNNNNNNNNNNNNNNNNNNNNNNNNNNNNNNNNNNNNNNNNNNNNNNNNNNNNNNNNNNNNNNNNNNNNNNNNNNNNNNNNNNNNNNNNNNNNNNNNNNNNNNNNNNNNNNNNNNNNNNNNNNNNNNNNNNNNNNNNNNNNNNNNNNNNNNNNNNNNNNNNNNNNNNNNNNNNNNNNNNNNNNNNNNNNNNNNNNNNNNNNNNNNNNNNNNNNNNNNNNNNNNNNNNNNNNNNNNNNNNNNNNNNNNNNNNNNNNNNNNNNNNNNNNNNNNNNNNNNNNNNNNNNNNNNNNNNNNNNNNNNNNNNNNNNNNNNNNNNNNNNNNNNNNNNNNNNNNNNNNNNNNNNNNNNNNNNNNNNNNNNNNNNNNNNNNNNNNNNNNNNNNNNNNNNNNNNNNNNNNNNNNNNNNNNNNNNNNNNNNNNNNNNNNNNNNNNNNNNNNNNNNNNNNNNNNNNNNNNNNNNNNNNNNNNNNNNNNNNNNNNNNNNNNNNNNNNNNNNNNNNNNNNNNNNNNNNNNNNNNNNNNNNNNNNNNNNNNNNNNNNNNNNNNNNNNNNNNNNNNNNNNNNNNNNNNNNNNNNNNNNNNNNNNNNNNNNNNNNNNNNNNNNNNNNNNNNNNNNNNNNNNNNNNNNNNNNNNNNNNNNNNNNNNNNNNNNNNNNNNNNNNNNNNNNNNNNNNNNNNNNNNNNNNNNNNNNNNNNNNNNNNNNNNNNNNNNNNNNNNNNNNNNNNNNNNNNNNNNNNNNNNNNNNNNNNNNNNNNNNNNNNNNNNNNNNNNNNNNNNNNNNNNNNNNNNNNNNNNNNNNNNNNNNNNNNNNNNNNNNNNNNNNNNNNNNNNNNNNNNNNNNNNNNNNNNNNNNNNNNNNNNNNNNNNNNNNNNNNNNNNNNNNNNNNNNNNNNNNNNNNNNNNNNNNNNNNNNNNAAUUAUAAAAGAAUUUAAAUACAUUUCAACAUGAAUUUUAGUUAGUAUAUAUAUUAAAUAUUAUUUUAAAAAACAUGAGGACCUGUGUUAUACAUUUUGUAUUUUUUUUUCAAAAUAUUUUCUAAUUUUUAUAUCGUUUAACAAAAUUUAAAAUUUAUUUUUGUACUAUCGUAUCUUUGUGUAGACAUACUGAAGGCGUUAUUAUUCAUCAUUCAACAUUGACACAUUCCACAUUUGUGUUAUUAUUAUUCAUCAUUCAACAAUUACAUAUUCCACAUUUGUUUUCCUAUCAAACGCCUUACUAUUCAUCAUUCAUCAUUCAAAUUUGAACGCCUGCAGAAACGUCUACUCUAAGUCAGAAUACUAACCAUAGAAUCAAUGCUAAGAUAGCUUCUUGUAAAUGCAAUCACUCUUCUAUGAUGUGCCUCUUCAGCAAAUGUUAUUUACGCCUAGUACACAUUGGGGGACCUGUAGAAAACCCAGGAUGGUCCUCUCAAAGAAUAACGAAUACAAAUUAAAUGCAAUGUUAAUGGCGGCACCGGGCCAUCCAUGAGCAGAUGCCCUGCUGUGAAGCAGAAUGGCUCCCUUCAACUUCAAAGCUCGGUACUGCAGCGGUCUGUCUCCUCCCUGAAUCACCUAACUGCACAGGUAAGAUGAUGUGUUUGUAAAAAUGAAAGUUAAAGCAACCCAUAGAAAAUGAGCAUAUUGUUCACUUCUUUUCACUCAUCAUAUAACAUGUUUGCUAUAGUAGAUCGAUCGAUCACCACCAUUCCUGCAAACCUUGAAAAGAACCUAAUUUUCGAUACUGUUGCUUUUUUUUUUUUUUUCAGAACUCUGGAACACUUUGAGAAAUUAAGAUACCAAUAUGUGCUUGAAUCUGUUUAAAUUGUUUCAUUUUACUUUUGAGAUCAUUAUAAAUGGGCAAACAAAUAAAAGGACAAGCCUAGUUAUCGAUGUUAUAUAUUGGUAUAAACAUAAAUGUCAAAACAUUAUCAUAUGUAUAUCUUGUUUAAUAAUUUAAAAUAAUUGAUAUCCAACUAAGUAAAUGAAAUUAUUACCGUCAUGGCACAGAUCUUGUGGACAUUUUAAGAAAGACAAAUAUUGGAUGAACAGUAAUUUAGGGCCCAAUACCUUCAGAAACAACACAAUAGUCAUAAAACAAAGAAUUAAUGAGUUGAAUAACCAAAAAGUUAAAGAGUCAAGACAAAGGUAGGUACCUUUGAAAAAAUAUAAUUCCUAUUUCAAAGGAAUGAUAGCAUCAAGAUUCUUUGAGGUUUGCCAUCCCCUAGGAUAAACACGAUUUUUAGCUUCCAAAUGCAUACGCCAAUUCAUAAUCCUCGAGCAAUCAUCAGGUAAGCCUUCCAUUUGGUGUUCAUCCUCGACUAUGUGUUCAAUAAAUCCUGUAUCCUGCAGACAUUAUGAUUUAAAAAAUGGAUUUGGUAAAUGGCAAAUAGUAUGCAAUAGUGGAGGAGAAAUAACAACUAAUCUAACCAAAGUAGGAGACUAUGUUGAAAAUGAACUCCGAUAAGAACGAGGAUUAGCUUCUUUGACUUUGGUUUUACCGCAGACCAUUAUGUGAAAUCUUUAAUGGUUCAAAACAGGGUUGCUUAAUUAUGAAUUAUAACCACUAAAAUGUAAGAACACUUAAACCUUUGCAAUAUAUAUCACAGUACUGUAGAAAAGGACGGAAGUUUACCUACCAAUAGAAGCUAAAUAAGAUAGACGGCCUAAACAGGCUGAAAGGUUGCAAAAGCUGGAUCUUUGAUGCUAGGAUUUCAUAUAAAAAUAGCUUAAAAAUUUUCAACUCAACAGAAGCCACAAGAAAAAAAAAAUGUAUUUAUUUAGCAAGUAAAAAACCACAUGUGAAAAAUGAAAGAAAAGACGCACCUCAAAACCUUCUGAUACAGUGUCCAGAAGCUCAAUGGCAUCUUUUGGGUACAUCCACCUCUUAGGAUUCCAUAGUACGGUGCUGUUGAAUGCAAAACCUGACAUAUCAACAUGAAAUCUCCGGAGAUUGUUGCCCUUUUCGUUCGUGUGCCAUCCAAUCACUCGACCUCCACUGCAUACUGGGCCUUCGAGAAUUGCCUUAUUUUUGCUUUGAGAAAGCAUUGCCACAGGCCAAGUGCCAAAUCUCCUACAGGCACAAAUAUAAACCUUUGUUCAGGCAGAAGUAAUUCAUGUAGUUAGAAACGAAGGCUAAUUUAGUAGCGGAUUGAUGAGCAGUAACUUCAGAGCAAACAAAUGAAGGUCACCUCCAUUGACAGGAAACAUACGAUGAUAUAUCAAACUUCCUCACUUGUAUGAUCGACAGAACAAGUGAUUCAACCCAAGAAAUUAACAGACAUAGAGAACAGGUUUAAUGCAAAGCAACGAUGACUGAUAACUACAACCAUUAAGUUUAGGAUCCACCUGUACUGUUAUUUUUUGAUAAGCAAAGCAAUUGUGCCGAAAUGUAAAGCAUUUGAAGGGUUCAGCACUUGCCCAUAAUAGUCAAUUGUUGUUUUCUGUUAAAAAUGCAUGUACUUUGAGCAUUGGAAUCGCAAGAAACAUAUGGUUCUUACGGUAGGCAAUAAUUUGUCUACCUCAGAAAAUAAUUAGGCAAUUAUGAAUUCGGCAACAUGUUACAUUUGGUAACAUUUGGUAACAUUUCCUCUUUCUUGCCGUGUAAGAAAAAUGAUCUUUUUAGCCCAAUUUGAUUAUGGGGCUUCAUCCUCGAUGAGGAAGUGCAAAUUCGACUAGCUUACUAGGGUUAGUAAAAGUUUGGGGCAAUUACUGAGCACUGCAUCUAAUUCAUCAUGUCAUAACAUUGAAGGCGGCAUCUGGAAAGAACUAGAAUUACUAUUAUGGCAGAUUACGCUGGAAGAACAAUGAAACAGCUUUGUUAGGAUUGAGUACCUGAUCCGUCUCAAUCGCUCGAAGAGGUCGAGGGAGUACACGUUGUCGUCGUCAGCAAAGUACACGAUGCCGUCCAGGCGAUGGUGCCUGAUGUGCUUGAGCGCGGUGUGGCGCUGGCGGACGUCUCUGUGGAGGCUGACGCUAGUGUUCUUGCGGCAGACGAGGUGCCUGUACAUGACGCCGGACCUCAUGAGGAUGUCGGCGGUCUCGAGGGUGGCCGUCUUCGUCUCGACGACAAUCCAGAGGAGAGGCGGGGGAACGAGCUUCAGCGUGUGGGCAAGGCGGUUCAAGUGGUACCCCUGGGAGGCCCUGUUGUACGUGGGGGUCACGAUGAUCAACAGCUUGCUGAAAGGAUCCACGGGCUCCUCAGCGGCGGUGGCGUUCGCGGAGCGGACGGGGUCGAAGAAGAAGCCAUGGGGCGGCGCGAGGCUGCCGGCGUCGUCGAGGUCGGGGAAGGAGAAGAGGCCCCAGAAGAAGCCAACGAGGAAGGCGAAGAGGAGGGCGCGGAGGAAGGAUCGGCGCCAGGGGCCUCUACGGGCGGGUAAGCCGCCGAGGAGGCAUCGUAGGCCAUGGAGCAGAGAGGGGGAGGAUUGCGCAGGCCGGCCGAGCAACGACUGGCCCUUCGAGGGGCGAUCACGGACGGCGGCAAAGGGGGCGCGGCGGAUCGAAGCCAUCGUGGCUGCUCCCCCUGCUGCUACUUCUAUUCCCCCGCACGGAAUCGAAGGGACUGCGGCCGCGGCGGAGGAGAGGAGAAGGCAUCAAGAGAACACCGAUCGGAGCAUGAUCGGGUAGGUGGGGCCGCGGGGGUGGGGGGGGAAGGAGGGCGGGCGUAGACAGGAUAUGACGUCGCUAUUGGAGAAGGACUUCCUACGCACCGAGUGGGAAUCGGUCGCCGCCGUGUUGGUUUGCCCAGCGAAGACGACGCACCAAAGCUAAGCAGCCACCAUUCUUCCGCUUCGGUUUCAUUAACUACCGCCUAUAAGCGUUACCCAAACGGAUACCGCCAAUAGGAAUGGAGAACGAAGGGAAUGGAAUGCGGACGCGUGUCCAAGACAAGCUGUCUUGGCGGGCCCGCAACGGUGUCGCCUCCGCUUGGACGAUGCUUGUAUUUUAGUUUAUGCACAUGGAGACAUAUCAUUAAGGAUCAGAAUUAAGGAGACAUCCGCCGAUGAGCGACAUGUAUUUUGUAUGGUUAUUUACUCAUUGGGUUGGGAGACACUAUAUAUAUAUAUAUUACUCUUCUUAUUAUUAUUUAUGAUAUUUUAAAAAAUAAUAAUAAAAUGAUAUUUUAUUUAUUUGGAAAUAAAUAUUUGUAUAUAAUAUGAAAAUUCGAAGAAAAAAAGGAAAGAAAGAAGAACUACAAGCGAAUAAUCCAUUACAACAAUGAGCUGUCGUCAAAGGAGGCCACAUCUAGGUUGAAAUCAACUGCUGCAAGGACAUGACAGGCCAACCCAUGCUGGCCUCGCUUAAUUGCUUCCCAGAACAAGCAGUUCGUUCCAGACAAGUAAUGGUACACCGAUCCGAAAGCAAGUAGCGAUCUCGGAUUACCUCUUCUUCCUCGUUGCUUCCGAGACUUACAGCAUCAUCGGCGCAAAAGUGUAGGACGGCUCGGGCAGAGAGAUGUUCGCAGGUAAAACCAGAGAGAAAGCUUCAUCUCUCUUCCUUCCUUCCUCGGAUUUGUUGCUGCAGGCCUUUGGGCGCAUCGUUAUUGCGAUGUAAACUGGACUCGAUUGACAUAGAAACUGGACGCUGGUAAAUCCUUUACAUGGGUGGGAGCUUUGUGUUCUUGACAUGUUUGAGCGUCGCUGUCUCGGAAUCGAGGUUGGAAAAUAUGGUUCAACAACCAUCGAGAUCCCAGUGAUCUCUUCUUCUUUUACGUGUUUGAUACAGUCUCGGGUGAUGAUGCGAUCGAGGAGUCGACCUCAUCCAACAUGUCAAUCGUGAUGGGGAUUCAUUAGCUACGAGACCAAAUAACACGGUGGAACGACAAGACUCCGUCCAAAUCGUGUGCCGUAUGCGCAGCUUCUGCACGGUGUGUUUUAUUAUUAUUAUUAUUAUUACUUAUUACUGAAUUAAUAAUAUCAUAAAAUAUUUCUUUUUUUUUAGAUUAAUUAUGAAUAGAAAAGAACACAACGAAAAAAAGAAAGAUUAUCAAGCUAUUUAAAAUAUAUUUUAUCUUCUAAAAAAGACAAAAUAUAUUUUUAUUUUUAAUUAAUAAUUUCUUGUAUAUGAGAUUAAUAAAUUGAGUUAUUUUCUCAUAUGAUAUACGAUUGAUAUGAAAUCAUAUUUAUGAGAUAUGAGAUAUCUCAUCAUCUUGAACCAAUAUUAUAAUUAUUGAAAGUGUUGACUGGUUUAAUUGAUAAAAAAAAAACUUACACUUUAAUUGAUAAAAAUAUUAUAAUAUUUUUUUUCUUAUAAUAAAAAUAUUAUAAUUAUUUUUUAUAAUUAUCUUAAUCACACUCGUGGAAUUAUAGAAUUGGAAUACAGCAAGCUUAAGCUUGUGGACUCAUGCGAAACAAAAGGCGGUUUCAACCACCACCACCGCCACCGCCGCCUCCCAAUAAAAGAGCUGCUGAUGUCUCUUUCAUGUGAUAUCAUAAUACCACAGACAACUUGCUAUUUCCUUGUCGGCAGUAUUAGAAGUUUCCAACGUAAAUGGCCAAUGUCUAACUAUCACAAAAAAGGGAAUCACGAGUAGGUGGUGCUUCCAUGACCUGAGUGCGCCAUGAGGCCAUCCCCCACUUCUGUGCUUUUAGUUGGUAGAGACAACGCAGGUUGCUCAGCUUUCUAAUCUCACUGAUUGAGCUAACGUACGAGUCCGGUCCUGCCUGCUUUAGACAUGAUGGAUCAUGUUGAGCAAUAAGAAUCAAACACCAUGACCGCAAAGAUGCUGUUGCAAGCUAAUAAGCAAUGACCAGAUUGUUCAUAGAGAGUGCAUAGUUAACAAGUCAAGUGAUCGAAAUUACCCGAGCGACAUGUAGAACAAACCUUCUCAACGAUGCGUCCGUUCAUCGUAUACCUGCACUAUUGUCUGUGAACUAUGGUUAGAGGUAAAACUGGUAAUCACAAAAAAAGAAUAGCUUAACACAUGGAGGGAAAUUUCAUACUGCAAUCUGCUCAAUUGAACCCUCAGUGAUUUGAAUGUUCUUUUGUACUCUUGACUCAAUAAGCGACACAUGUACCGUACAGCAAUUCAAGAGGAAUGCAAUUUUCAUUUUAAGCAAAAAAAUUGCAGUGCACCAUCUAUACAAAAGCUGGAAAAAAAGGGAAAAAAAUCGUCGAGCAAAAGUUACCAUGUAUAACUUUCUCCUGACUCCGCUGAUAAAGAUUGCGGGUCAGUCCGCCAAUUCCUCCUCUUAUAUCUGUACCUUCAAGAGCAUGUAGCUUUGUUAUAUCAUACAUUACUGAUUGAUGAAGAAUGUAUGCUUAGUCUUUCUUGUGGUAGCUUUUCAAGUUCAAUCGAACUACCAUUCAGGUUGUCGCCCCCACUAAUGCUGCUUUCUACCUUUCGGAGAUCACCCAAAGCUCGCCUUGCAUAUACUGUGAAGGCAAUUGUGAUUGCAAUGGCGAUGACAAAGGAUAUGAUGUUGUAAACUAUCUCCACCGGUGUCAUGGUAUAAUUCCCAUAUUUCAUAUUUGCCAGUGUGCGUAUCAACCGUCCACUGCACCAAAAGAAAAGCAGGAAGAGAAGGUUUAGUAUUUAGCCAUAAUUCUCCAAAUAGUCAUAAACCUUAUGAGGAGGAGAUACAAAUGAUUCUGUGGAAACGGAAAACAUAAAGACAAUGUCAAGAUGAUGGUAUGUUAGGACUAAUUGAAAUUAGGAAUAAGGUACUGAUCAUUAGAUGUUUCACAUCCUCAACCCUUUAAAAUAUAAUUAAAACUCAUUCUGGUUUUGAAUCAGAGGUUAAGCAAAUACUUGAUCUAUCUGCAAGAAGAACAAAAAGGAGAACAAAUAUGGGGCAUCAUGAUGAUUUGUCAUGACUCCUAUGGUUGUUUGUUUGACAUCAUAACCAUAUUACCAGCCGGGCAGAUUUACUAACCUAUAAAUAUAGAUGAAAGCUUCAGGUAUCAUUCCAGCGAUAGAGCCACUGAGAUAAGGACCAAAUUUUAUACAUGUCACUACUACUGCAUAGUUGAAGAUUGUGUAUGGAAAUGGUGAAAUUCUAAAGAGCGCAACGACUCGAAAUUGAUGAAACCAGCUUCCCUCCCCAGCCAGCCUAAGUAUAGCAGUCUGCUGAGGCCAUUUAUUCAACCAUUCCUGUCACAAUUAAUCAAAAAAAAAAGAAAAGUCACAAAAAAUGAAGAUUCACUGGGGGUUGGUCUCCAUGGAUAAAAGUGGACAUUCAGUUCAGAGGUCUUACAUGUAUCCGUUCACGAAACAGUAAGCCAAUAAAAUAAGGCAGCACCAUGCCUAUGGUAGUUCCUACCAUAAUUAUAAGAAAUCCAAGACCAUAUCCAAAUAUCAUUCCUGCCAGCCACAUGGAUGGCCCAGAAGGAAUUAGCAAAACUGGGAACAAAGCUAAGGAUCCAAUGAGUACCAAAGCAAGAACAGGCCGCCCAAAAGCAGUUGCUUCCCACUCCAUAAUUGGCAGGAGAACCUGCAGAGUAGUUCAAUUGAUCAUUGAAUUGUCAAUAUGAAUGAAGUUAUCACUUUUUCUCCAGUUUCUAAAGAUAUAAUACCAUGUAGAGCAUGCAUGUAUGUCGAAAUAGUCGAUCGUUUCGAGUGGCAAUGACAUAAGAUCAUAUUUGAGUUGAUAUCCAUCCCUUAAACAAGUAACUUUUGAAUUCUUUUAAGAAGCAGAACCAAAAUAUUUUGGUACACAAGUUGAGAUAAUUGCAGUAUCAGAGCUAAUGUGACAACUAAUAUGUCCAGGGAGCAAACACUGAUGAGGUGGAGCUACCAAUAUUUGUCUCUGAAAAGACUGAUAUGGAUUUGUAUGAAAGAGAUUAGCACCCUCGGUAAUCUCACAUCAUAUGUGAACUAUAACAAGGUGGUAUACAGAUACCUAUGCUCAUCGAAAUAGCAACUUAUGGGUAUACUUAUUUGUGGGCAAAGCUAAUGUUAUGUUAGGCUUGGAUUGUCCGGUUGAGAUCAAGCUACAAACAUUACUCUACUGCAAAAAAAAGGGCAUAUGACACAGCAGAGCAUGCCACCAAGCAACCAAUUACAAGAUGAAAUAUGUGUGACCAAAGAACUCUCUAGUCCAAAAUGGAACAUCAAAUACAUCAACAAAUAAAGAGUUACCGAGCAAAUUUAGGAAUAAACUUUUCAAGACCUAGCCAACAACUCAUGAUAAGCAUGUACAAAGAUUGCCAUAUUGUGGCACAGGGGUGUGUUGAUACCUACUGGGCAUGAUAUGAUUCCAUGCUAUGUGAAUCAUCAUGUAUGUUGGUCAGUAAUUUGUCCUAGCCAUAUGUUGGCACUUGACAUGAUGCCAACAAUGUGUUUUUGGCAAAAUAUGUUUCAGCUUGUGCUGACACAUGCCUGACAUGCAUGACAGUCCUCAUGUUUGUAUAUCUAAUUGUGGCUUGCAUAAGAUUUUCUACAGAAAUAGCAUGAGAUAUGCACAGAAAAAAGAUCUGCUCACAGCAAUUGCAAGAACAACAAAAUUAGUAACCUACACUUGUAUUCAGAAGACAAGAACGUAUAGCAGAACAAAUAAUAUAGCUGAAGAUAAUUGACAUUACCUUCUCAAAAGCAAACGGUAGUCCCCAUUUGACGAAGACAAAACUAAGUACCACCAACAGAAAGCAGAAAAAGAGAAUUUUCAUCCACCAGAUGUACGAUCUCGAAGUAGCUUUUUCAACUACCUGUUGAGGGUCAAAAUUGGAUAUUCUUGAUUCACUUGGCAACACCAGUCUUGCAUGCUCAUCUUCCAUUGUCUGCAGCUCGGAAGUCUCAACAUUCUUCCCUGACAUCUCAGAUGAACUUGACAUCUUCCGUGGAAUUCCACAGAAUCUUUUAGACAAAGCAGAAGCACCAGAAGAAAGUUAAAUUACCCUGACAUGUGCACAUAUAACAUGAUGCAAAGAAUGACUAGGAUACAGUUUGUACAACAACAAUAGCAAGUUGAUUGGUUACAUCUUCCACAACUGUUUAUGCUUUUCUGAGACUUCAACAUAGAUUUGAUCCUUGUGCUAGCAAAGGAAAUAUGGCAAGUAUUAUUUUCAAGAAAACUACCAUAAACAACACACAGAAAUGCAUUUGUUUGGUCAUGCAACAUAAUUAGAACUCAACUAGUGAGCAUAAGAAUACAGGAAAGGAGUCGAACACUGCAGUGGCAAAAGAUAUAGUACUUCCACCUCAAAAAAAAAUCCUUAUUAAAGAGUCAAAGCCAAGCAUGUUAAAACUUAAGAAGAAAGAUUUAUCUUCAAUUUGUUAAUUCAAUAUGCCAAAAGUCAAGUCUAGAAAAAAAUGUGCAUGAUCCAAAAUAUUCAAAGUAAUCUAAAAGACUAAGGAAACAAUAAAGUAGAACACCUUCUACUUUACUGUACGAAGAAGACAGGCAUGAAGAAGACAAUAAAGUUGAACAUCAUUACUGCCACAACCUUUAUUCACCCUGCUCAAGAAUUCAUAGGGGAUAACAGAUCACAACCAAUAGUUUACAAAAAAGAGUAGCAGGUAACAAAACCACUGCAACAAAAGGAAGGCAAAGGCAAAUAAUUAAGGUGUACUCUCAAAGAUUAUGCUAGUGGCAGACGGUAGACCCAGUUCACUCAUUUUGCAAACAAAAACUAAAUGACUUGUGACCUAUGUUUUAACAAUGACUAGGCAGAACUCAAAUCAUACAUGAUUGAAUUUGUAAGAACCCAGCUAUAGCAUGAUAAUUUGAGUAAGUAAGAUAAAGAAGAUAUGGUCUAUGCCAAAAAGGAAUUCCACCAUCACAUAAGUAGUUUCAGGCAAAUGGAUAAAAGAUUUGAAAGUCUAAGUAUGUUACACUAUAUUAAUGUACAAUCGUUUUCGCCUUAAAAAGACUUUUAUAAAGACUUUCCAUUAGCCAGAUUUUAAUCAGAUUCAACAAGCAUUUACCAAUUCAUUCUGCUACAGGUGUGUUUCCAUCCAUAUACAUAUUUAAAAGUCACCUCCGUAUGGACAGAUUAGCUAUUUUAGUCAAUUUAUCGGGUUGGUUUUAGUAAUUUCGUGAUCUAGAACUGGUGGACUCUCUGCCUCCCUCAUCUUCUUGAGUCACAGGAUCGCUAUGGUUACCCUCACAGAAAACCAACCAGCAUUCCAUGUCAUCUUCUUCUUUAUUUUGUCUUGUAUCCCAACUUUUCUCUCUCCCAAGUAAAUGACAAGCCAAAAUUCCCAAGAACUCUUCCUCCGAGUCAUCCACCAAAUGGAAAAGAACAGCUAGUACCUUUUCCAUUCCAGAUCACAUACACAUCUGUAUUCCAACAUUUUCACAAAUAAUCACUGUCAUUAAUAAUCUUUUCUAGCUUAUCUCACAAUAUCUAGAUGUCAUUUGCUAGUAAACUACAAGAAGAUAAAGGGUUUUACCUCUGUUCCAGCAUAAUCUUUUCUGAACUAAACUACACCAACUAAGAAGGUCAUAACACAUGAGCAUGAGACAUGAAACCAAUGUUGGAUACUCAAGGCAAUCUGUUGUAUACACUGCUAACCAAACAGAAGGAGCUUGCAAACCUCUAAAUCAAUUUCGAUCCAUGAACAAGCUAAAAAAUUUAUGAACUACAUGCUUAGAUUCCUGAACUCUGGGCUUCAUUCAAUGCCGUCAAUAGUAACAACACUUAGUCCAAUGGAUUAUGCCCCCACAUCGGUACGAAACCUAAAUCAUACCAACACCAAGUUAGUCCUGUGCCCGAUUGCUAUUACGAAGCAUUGAUAUGCAUCAUCGUCUAACUUCGUAGAUGAUAAGACUUGCUGUUACCAAAGAAAGUAACAUCCUCUUGGCUCUUUAACUUUCCGUGACCCAUUUUCUCAAUCUCCUACCAAGAACAGCGUGCGAUUGGACCACCAAAGAAUCCAUAUCAUAAAAGGAGGAGGACUACAUACACAGGCGGAAUCGAGACCGGGGCAUCACUCUUUGCUGCUUAGAUCCGUUCCCUAACUUUAAUCCAGAGACAAUAUCUAGGUCACGGAACAACAAAAGGAAAGAGAGAGCGAAAAUCCCAGACAUCUUACCUCGUACAAGUUCUUCACGAAGGGAAGGGCGUCGAGCCCUCGAGCAGAAGAGCGAUCGAGGAUCUGCAGGGAAAGGGGAGGAGACGGCGGAGAGGGAGGGGAAAGGAAUAGAAGCGGCUUGCGCUUGGUGGUUGCCCUUUCUUUCCUUUUGCUUUAUUGGGGCAAAGAGAUGCAGGGUUGAGGGUAAGGAUUCAAUUCGAAGGAAGCUCCAACAAGGCGACCACCUGCCGCUGCCGCUGCUGCUGUUUGAUUGCUUGGUCGAAAGCACGCGGAAAUGGGACACGCGCGACACGAGAUACUCACAAGAGGCGCCCUCAAUUUUCAUGGGUGACGUCACCUUCUCAUAACACACGGCGAAACCCAUGCGCCGGAUCACCUAUGAUAACUAUCAAGGGUGAUUCAGCCAGUCCCGUUUCGGCGCCCGCGUCCUUUGGUAGUCAAAGUCAAAUUGCGGCUGUCUUCCUCCGCAAACUUUGUCAACGGCAGCAGAGCCACAGCUGCAGUUUCUAGAAGAUGUCGAUGCAGUCCGCGAUUGCGUACAAGAACGAUACUCGUUGUCUCUACGAAGUCAUACGCUGCUCACGCUUAUCGACAUGCCAUUGGAGAAGGCAAGCAGUACGCCGAGCCCUGCAAACCCUGCAUACGAAACAAAAAGCAGAGUGAGUCUCAUGGCGGGGUGUGUCCGGCAAGUGCUGCUUGAUCACCAAUACCGACGAUGUGGUCGAGAACCCGGACGAUGCCAGAUAGCUCCCCACCGGCCCCAACUCCGGGCAACCGUUCAGAACCAGGAUGAGCGUAGUGACGAAGGUGGUGAAGAGAGCCAUGAGAACCAGGAUGGCGAGCGGCUCCUCGUCGAGCACCUGUCGAUUAAUGCAGUCGCAUGUCGCGCCCAAAAAACAAGUGUAGCGCGGCCAUUAGUAGGAGAGAGCGCGGCGGGAAAGUUUUGCGUACCUUGCGGUCCUUGCUUGGUGUUCACGAGGAAGGCCAGCGUGAAGGCCUCCCUCGGAGGGACCUUCACAAGGAACAAGCGGGUGCAAAUGAAGAGGACAAGGAGAGCCCAGGGAUUAGGCAAGCGACCUCGUGAUGGCGAUCACCAGGCAGAUAUGGACGAUGGCCAGCGGCAACGCGCAGUCCAGCGAGUUGUCGGCCUGCCACGACCCGUUCGACGUCGCCUUCAUCGGCGCCGGGCACGUCCCCGCCGCUGGCGAAGCAGUCUCUCUUUCUUUAUCUCCUUCCCUCUGCCGCGCUACCUGUUGGCCCAACACGAGCCCACACAAAGAAGAAGAAGAACAGUCGGUGUUAGAACUAUCACCACAACGCCAUAUGCAAUAACAAAAGGGAGAUUUCAUCUCCAAGCUUAUGGGAAUAUUCUGUUAAUACCUUAAAAUAUUAUUUCCAAUUAAUCCAACAAUAAAAAUCACUCGUUAGAGUAAUCGAGAUGAAUGACUUUAUAGUAAAAUCUUAUAUCCCGUUUUAAUGGCCUAAGCACUGAUGAUUUUUUUUUCUCUUAACAUAAAUCAAAUUAUCAUAAAUAAUAUAUCUAUUUUAUUUAAAUUAUUAAUUUUUAUUUUUGUGUAGUAUGAUUAAGGAAAUAAUUAAGAUUGAUUUUCUUAACCACAUGGAGAGCUUAUUUCCUAAUAAGUGAUUUAAAUUAUUAAUUUUCUUAUCAAUCAAUUAAAUUAUUAAUUAUUUGUUUAUGAGUGAUGUUAUUUUUAAAAGGUAAAUAAUUUUAAUUUUUUUUUGUAUGUGAACCAUAAGAAAUAAAUAUUAUGAUUCUAUCUUUAUACAUAAAAAUAAAAUAAAAAUUAAAUUAUAAAUUACUUUUGAUGAGAGCGCAUCUGAUAUUCCGAGGAUUAAGAAGGAGAUUCCUCGAGAAAAUUAGAAUCCUUUAUUAUUUUCUUACUAGUUUUCAUUCAUAUUUUAAUAUUUUUGAUAUUAUAAUUAUUAUAAUUUAUAUGAUGCAUAAUAAUAUUUUAAUUUUAAAAAUUUGUAAUGAAUAAAUAAAAAUCAUUGAAUUAUGAUGUUAGAAUUAUUAUUUAAUUUAAUGAUAGUUUUAAUUAUUUAAUAAGAUGUAUUUAUGUUUCAAGGAAUUAUAUGUCAAUUUUUAUUAUCUAAUUAGUUUUAAAUUUAUAAUCAUGAAUCUAAAUUACAUAAUUCAUGAAAAAAAAUAUAUCUGAGAUUAAUUAUUAUUUUAUAAUAUAUUUAAAGUAUUUUUAAAGAAUAAAUUUUAAUUUAAUAAGAAUAGUUAAAUUAUGGUAUAACCUAAGUUAAGUUGAUUGGCUAGCUUAGCCCGUGUGGCUAGAUACGGUCUAGCCCAUAUGGUGAGAAAUGACCUAGCUCCUGUAACCAAGUAUGACUUACCUCAUGUUACUUGGUAUAACCUAGCCCUAUGUGUCUAAGCAUAAUCCAACCCAUAUGACUAAAUACGAUUAUAUAUAUAUAUAGUCAAGCAUAACCUAUGUGAUAUGGGACAACUCAGCCCAUAGUUAGGCUUGACCUAACCCAUGUAGCUAAGUAUGAUGCUACUCAUAUAACUAAGUAUGACUCAACCUACAAGUCAAACAUGACCUAGUUUAGUGGUAAGACUCAACUCAACUUAUGAGUGAGGCUCAUCCUAGCUCGUAAAGCUAGGCUCACCCAACUAUGUGAUUAGACCUAGAUACAUCAUUACCUCUCUAUCCAACCAAUUGUACCUCAACCCAAUUUACUACUUGGGAUAUGCAUGACCUAAUCCAAUUUAGGCUCGUUGGUUUAUUUAAGCUUGUUAGUUGACUAAAUUAGAUAAGUUUGAUCUGUUUAAGCAUGUUUACGAUGAUUUCAAAUCAACAUGAUCGAUUUAAGCCUAGUUAACCUAUUUAAAAUCAAUCAAAUCUAAAUUAGACAUACUUAGGUGAUUCCAGAUCGACUCUACAAGGAUUUGAGGUUAGUUUCGUUAGUUCAUAAUUGAAUUAAGUUUGUUAAAGUUAAUUAAGUUAUUUUAAUUAGGGUUUCAAUUGAUUAAUGAAUAUUGAGAGAUUGAUGCCUCAUGUCUUUAUGAUUUAAUAAAUUUAAAAAAAUUAUCACCAAUGGAUAUAGUCCAACAAGUUAUACAUCAAGCAUGAUCCCUCAUCAUACUUUAUCAUACUAUUUAUUAGAUAGAUACAUGUAUAAAUAAAUAUAAGAACAUAAAUAAAUGAUCAUAGUUAAUUAUGUACCCAUAUGGUGAUUUCCUUCGGGGAUUAGCCAAUUCUCUGACAUAAUAGUUAGACGGUUCCUCAAUCAAUUGUUAGGAGAAAUAUAUUUCUACUUGGAUGGGUAAGUGAUAUCACUCUAUCCGUUGUUAGGAGUGUAAUAUGGAUUAAUACCUCUUUAUUCAUUAUUAAGCGAGUACACCAUCGUACGUAUUUGUUAUUUAACUAUUAUAUAUAUUAUCGAGAUAUGUUGCAUGUGAUUGAUGCAUGAUUUUAUUUAUGAUGAAAAUUAUCAUCAUUUAAUAUUAAAUUAUUAAUAUAUGUAUUAAUAUUAAAUAUUAUUUUUAUGAUUUUUCAGAAGUUCUUAUUAGUACAUGUGGUUGUUGAUGUAUUUUUAUCAUAUAUUAAUUUUCAAAGUAACCUAUUAUUUUAUAAUAUAUAUGAGGCUUCAUGAGAGAAACUUUUUUGUGGCUCUACUAGGAACAUGUGAUUUUUUUAGUUAAAAAAUAUUUAGUAUGGUAAACACAGUAGUUUGAAUUCAAAGAUUAAAAUAAAAAAGUUUUUUUAUAAAUUAUGAACUAUUAAAUGAUAAUUUAUUUAUUUGUAUAAAUUUGAGAUGUGACACACAAUGUCUCAAUCUUCUUCGUGUAGAUCAAUUAUGAAACACGUUUUCAAAUCCCCCCUCAGUUACCGAGCGAAUGUUCAAACCAUCUUUUUGUUCACAUCAGAUUUUUUUAUACAUGAUGAAGGAGGACUCGAAUCGGGUUCGAUUAUGUCAGACAUCACUACCAUUUAUUUUCCCAUCACAUACAUUUUGUUCUUCUCUCCAAUAAGGAAUGUGGUCAAUGUCUUCGACCGAGACUUCGUUACUAAAGCAAGUCAGUCAAUUAGGGAGUGACAAUGUCAAUUAAGCAGAUCUAUCACGUCAAUUUAGGUUUAGCAACAAAGACAUUCAUCAACCUAUUCGAAUGAUAACGUUAACAUUUUUUGGUGAAAAUUAUGAAUAUAUAUGUAUAUAUAUAUAUAUAUAUAUAUAUAUAUAUAUAUGUAUAUGUAUAUAUAUAUAUGUAUAUAUAUAUAUGUAUAUAUAUAUAUAUGUAUAUAUAUAUAUAUGUAUAUAUAUAUAUAUAUGUAUAUAUAUAUAUAUAUGUAUAUAUAUAUAUAUAGNNNNNNNNNNNNNNNNNNNNUAUAUAUGUAUAUAUAUAUAUGUAUAUAUAUAUAUAUGUAUAUAUAUAUAUAUGUAUAUAUAUAUAUAUAUGUAUAUAUAUAUAUAUAUGUAUAUAUAUAUAUAUAGUUAAUUAAUUGCAUUCAAAAUUGGCAUUUAAUAUGCAAUAGAGGAGGAGGGCAUCGAGAGCUGAAGCUCUAUUCUUAUGGAGCCAAAACAGUAGACUAUACUUGAGAGAGAGAGAGAGAGAGAGAGAGAGAGAGCACAUAUAUAGAGUCGAUUAUACUUUUAGACAAAGCAAAGACACAAACAUAGAAUCCAAUUGAAGGUUGGUGGACACAAUCAAACCACUCGUUCCUUCACAGAGAAGAUGACAGCCUUCAACCAUGGAAGUAGAGAAGAGGUCGAACCGCGCGAUCUUCUAAAACCGGAUGGAGGACGCGUAGGUGUCGCCGAACUUCCAAGUCGCCGGCGCGACAUCGUAGGCGGUCUUGACCUUGCCGUCGCUGGUCUGCACCCGGAAGGAGAGGCUCUGACCAGUGAGGUACGCGUUGCUCUGCCAGUUCAUGCCCCAGUUCCUGCUCAUGGCCAUCCACUGCGUGUCGGACCCCUUGAUCCAGGCGCCGGAGACCACGCCGCUCCCUCCCACGUUGGCGAUCAGCACCAGCUCGAAGUAGUUCUUCCCGUUGAUGGUGAACCUGAUGCCGCCGCUCCUCUGACACUUGACCCUGCCAAGUCCACACCGCACGAUUAACCCGUGAGAGAGCUCCGAUCCUCGAGGGGUUGGUUCACGGACGUGGAAUCACCUGCGGUAGUAGACGGGAACGAUGCCGCCCCGGUAGACGGCGAUGGUCUCCCAGGCUGGCUGAGACAUGUCGAAGUGCUGCCGCGGCGGGUUGCACCACCCGCCGUUGUCGCUGGGAAGGUCGUAGUUGGGCGGGCAGUAGUUGGUGGCGGUGACGGUGAUGUGCGUCCCCUUCUUGCACCACGUCGACUUCCUCGAGUCGCACACGAUCUGGAAGCACGCGCCGCAGGCGGCGCCGUUGUUGAACAGCGCCGUGCUCAGUGCCGUGUUCUUGAUGCCGUACCCGUCGGUGUACAAGUUCUGAUACCCACACGCUCCACCUGCAUCCAUGGAACACCCACCUUAGAGCGCAGACCAAACUCCCAAGCAUCAAACGUCGUGUGUGAGUCACCCACCCAUAGUGCCGGAAGCAUCACCCCCUCCAUAGAAGGUUGCCGAGGCAGGAAUCCAAUCAUCUCCCAGAGCUCUGAACUCAGAGGCAAACCACGCGAGGAACAGCAGCAGUAGUGCAGCCUUCUCCAUCUCUACUUGCUCGAAGAAGACAACUACUCGGUGCUGUGAAUAUUAAUGCAUACCAUCCCACCUCCCUCAUUCCUAUAUAUAGUGCCGAAUCUGAGCUCUUCUUCUUCGACCCUGACGGUGUGUUGGGCGUUUAGUCUACGUUGACUUCACGCAACUAUAAGACCUGCGCGCUGGAACAAAUUAUUACAAGUUGGUGAAGCUUAAUCAAAGCUAUAUACAAAUAAGCUUCGUACAAAAAUCUACAGCCUGGUGCCGGCGACACUUGGCCACCUUUUGCGCCGCCUCCACCCGAAGACGGAAACGGUGUACGUAACCGUACAUUCUACCUUAUGAAGCAUAGAGAAACGGAACCAUAAGUAACUUAAUCAAGUCAACCAAGUGUUGUGCUCUGUCUAAGUAUUAUUUUCGUCGUUAGUUUCUGAGGGUUUGCAAGCACAUGGCUCCCGUACAUCAUGGACGCAGACGGAUGGUAGAUGACGAGAUCGCAACCACAUGUUCUACGUAUUCGCAUGUCCAUAUGCGAGAAUAGUAUGACGGUGGUUGUUGGAUACAGAAAGGGAGAUGACUUGUGACUCGUGCGUGGCGUGAGAGGUGAGACUUCGUGUCUGCAGCACAUGCCGCCGGAGCACCUUAUGAACCAACCCAUGUGGGGAGGAGAGAGAGAGAGAGAGGAGUUGACUAUUUCGUCACGUAAUGGCACAACCAAGUUAGGUUUCACGUAGUGUGUAGGUGCAUGUGCGACGCGGAGUGGAAGUCAACCUAACUCAUGCAUGCUAUUCACACUUACAUGGGUUACUUUUCCCCAAGGCCUGCAUAGUGUGCUGCCAUUCAUACUCAUCGGUCCAAUGAUUGUUAUAUUAAUCAAAAGGAAAAGAAAGGUAUUACUAUUUAUUGUAACGAUGAGCCAAAUGAGUCUUUGUGGAGUAUAAGACGCAAGAUAAAUCCGGACAGCAUCAUUCUCGAUGUGGUCGAGUCAGUCGAGUUCUUACUCUUAACAUACAUUCAUUCACAUUUAGGAGGGUAAAUGCUUCUAGAUUCGUGCAUGGACACGACACGUGUCGCUUGCAAGAGGCUCCUUGCAAAAUGAUCUUAGAACGCUGUCUGACAUAGUUCAUACGGCUGCGGUAAGCUUGAUGUGGUUCUUGCAUCGCUCGACUCCGGUCACCACUGGUGGGGGUAAGAACGCGCAGAACCGAAGGAUUUAAGCCAAAAAGAAAGGGAACGAGGAAGACGAGAAGGAAGACUUGGUGAUGGCGUUUGCGUCCCGAUUGGCUCUGGUUGCCGCUGCCGUUGGUGUAGGGGAAGACUUGACUUGCGGUUUACGGACUUGCAAGGAAGAGAGGAGAAAGGCGUCAUGUUGAAUUAGGAUAAGAUGGUAGAGUUAAAGGAGAUACAGGGAGGAAGUUGUGAUACUGUAGGCAUGAAAGUGGUCCUACAAACUAAAGAAAUUUUUCUAAAAGUAGAUGAAAGAACUAAAAGAAGCAUAAGUAGCAGUAGGAAUCGCAAUUUGUGGCCACACUACCUAUGGUAGAAAUAUCUGAACUAAUGUUGUGGAGUUCUUGUUUUUUCCUUUCUAUCCAUAGCUUCAGUUUCUCUUCUCAAUAUUAACAUUGGCUUAAAGGAUAAGUGCAAUUAACUGGGUAAUUUUAUUGUUGGCUCAGAAUCUACAACCUGAAAAAAAUUAGUUUAGUUUGUACAAUGAUAUAUAUGAUCUAUAGAAACAAGAGUUUAAUAUAGAACAAACAUGAGAGAAUUAUAUAUGAAAAUAUAAGAUUCUAAAGAGAGAGAGAGAGUUUUAUAAUAUAACAAAGACUAGAUGAGACUGCAGUUUCAUACAAAAGGUUUGAUGGUGAUGGAUGGGGUGGUGUGGUCUUUGUUGGAGUUGGAUAGAGGAAAUGGUAAAAGAACCAGGCAUGAAAGGUAAAGAACAAACACAUCGAUGGGCUCAUUUACCUUCUUUCUUGUUCAUUGCUCUGCCUUGUGUGUAUAGACACUGGGCAAUAGAAACAUAGCUCAGUGUUCAUGGACAGCUCGUCCGACUCAUGAUCGAAAAAUACCUCUUCUUUCUAAUGUUCCCCUUCUUGCUCUUGCCCUCAACAUUCAACUGCAGCAGAAAAACGAAGACAUCAAAGUUACCAUCAAAUAUAACUUAAAAGAGAAGUUUUUCUUUAUCCAAUGCAAGUUUCCAAGCUGCGCCAUGGGGUCAUGGAGUCAUGCAAUUCUACUGAUUAGGUCUGAGUUCAGUGAUUCUUGGGCUGCGCAUACCCUCUGAUAGGCUUUGAAUUUUGGCGAGGAGGUUCAUCAAGAGGGUGAGAGAGAUGGCCAUCACAACUCCUCGGGUGAGAGAGAUGGAACGAGUACAUCAAAAGGAGAUGAGAACAUGUAAAGAACAAGAAUGCCUUUCAUGAUGGGAAUAUGUUACAGAUGAGGAUACAGGGCAAAGCUUGCUGCUCCAAACAACGAUCAACUGGAUGACCUCCAAAUCCUUCCUUCCAGGGAAAUCACCAUAACGGAAACAUCGUCAUGAUAUUUGCGCCGGUCGCCUUGAGGAAUAUCCAGCAACUCAUGGAAGUCCAUCCCUGCGACACGUAACAGGAACUAACAUGUGAAUCAUCAAGCUGUAAACAAAGAAGCAUUGACGACAUCUAUCGUAUGAAAGGGGAAAAGUUGAUUGUAGCACCAGGGAUGUCACUUGACAAUGGGUAGAGAAUUCUACCAAACUAGAUAAUUUAUUACUGAUACAAACACUUCCAACAAGAAUCACAAAGCCCGAGAGAUGUACUGGGAUGUUGGAGGCAAAUGCAUCAAAGAUUUUGUGGAGGUUUAGAAAAGUGAUGUUAAAACUUCUGUCUGGGAGAUGGAACAGGUGACACUUUGGAAGAGGAUCAAAGGUGACAAUUAUCAAUAGUCCAGAGAUCAAUCAUGUCAACUACAAAAGUUGAUCUUUCAUCAAGUCUGAUUGGAUUCAAACAUGUUAAAUACCACCAAUACUAUGCUUGUGCUGGAGCUUGGUCAUGAUAACUUGCAAUGUCGUUCUGACUAAAAAAAUGUCUCCAGUAUCAGAUGCACUAUAGGAACUAAUGGCACUAUUGCUUAAUGACUGCCAAGUAUGAUGAAAUAUUGAACAUAUCUAACAAGCUCACACAGAGAACAACUGAAAGAUGACACGGACUCAUAUAAUUAAAAUCAUAAAAAAGAGAAAUUUACAAUAUAGCUACUGACCAUUCUUUUUAGCUGCACGAAUUAGCAGCUCAGCAAUGAGGUACUGUGCAGGGUCCCCUUCUGGUGCAUUUUCCAUGAACCAUGUAACAUGUGAAACAACUUCUUCAUUGCUGAAGUACUGGUAAAGCCCAUCGGAAGAGAGGACUAAGAAACGAUCACUUGAGCAGAGACGAUGAUGAAGAACGGAAGGGGAACAGCUAAUAUAUGGUGAGUUCCCGAUAUAAUCAACUCUAAACAUCUCAAGCAGAGAUUGAUUACAGUUUGGCUGCAAGAAAGAGUACAACCAGUCUCAGAAAAAUAAACAUUUUUCCAGCAAAUUUAAUCAAUUAUAAUAUCUAAGAGAUGCACCGAUAAUCUGUGUUCUCUCCAUGGAGUACACAACCUAUUACACAGAGACUUACUCUUGUAAAAAUUUUGGAGUAGAACUGCUAUUUUAUAUCAAGACAUCGAUAUUUAAACACAAACAAAGAAUAUCUAACAAGGUUAACAAAAGAUUAGUACAUAUGUAUACUGGUGCACCUGCUAUUGGAGAAAAUCAUACCCUCCUCCAGAGAUGGAAAUUAUAAAGGCAGUUCCAAUAAUCAUAACCUAACUUAACCAUCAUCAAAGUUAUUUGCCAAGCGAAAAAAAAUCAUACAAAUAUAGUCUAAGGUUCCACUCAUCUAAAUAUAUGAGAAGGAAUCCACCUAAAAGUUGAUGACCACAAUUUUUGCACUGGCAAGAAAUAUCGAUGGAGAUGGAAAUUCCAAAGGUAACUUUAACAAACAUAUAUAACUUAUUAUCAAGCCAUUUGCACAAAAAGACUUAAAUAAUAGAAACAUAUAAUUUAAAAUUCCAUAUUUCUUUACCAGGCAUGCACAUCAGAUUUUGCAAAAAAGUAAGAAAUUAUCCAAUCACCUUGGCAACGCCAUGACAAGCCAAUUUAGACUUCCAACAUAUCAAGGUAUGCUUUCACGUGAGAUCAAGUUUCUGAUUUUAAUGAUUCUGACAAUGAACCACACUCUCAGGCCCAAUACAAAGUGCCCUUGAUUUCAAUUAAAUGUCGCAUGGAUAAAUUCGAACCUCAGAAAGACAUUUAUUGCAUUUUUAUGUGGGCACUUAAUUGUCACACACAAACAAAUUUAGAUAAAAAGGAAUAAGCAGAUUUCUGAGCUGACCUUCUUCAGAAACGCUGCUCCAAAUGCCCUUGUAACUUUUAGCUGCCCUUUUACUCUGUCAUUGAAGACAGCUUGAGCAUCAUCAGCAUGUUCUGCUUUAAUUCUCAAGACUUCCUGCAAAUUUUAGUUGAUAGGGUAAGUUAACUAGUAAAAAAGGUAAGUGAUUAUAUCACCCAUAGGGACUAUUGUGGAAAUCAAAUAUUAUUAUAUCCAAAUGACCAUAAAAGAAGUCCCAUAUUUUUUCAGUGUUGUGAACAUCGACCUGGGUAAUCAGGACUUGAAUCAUGGAAAUAACCUGUCUGCUUGUAGGGGUAACGUUUGCAUACAGUGAGGAAGCAACAAAGGAGAGUGUUAAAGCAGUGUGAAGCUUGUAUACAUACGAUCACCUGAGGACUUUUCUUUUGGUCAUGUGCAGUAAAAGGAGUUGGUUGUUUCCACAAAUUGGCAAGGUGCAGAAUGUGAUAAUGCCAACUAAAUUCUUAUAUGAGCAUGACAAUAUUUUCCAUUUGAUUGUGUGAAUGUUCUGAUCAGGAACCUUCAAAAUUUAAAAUAAGAAAAUUUGAAUGUCCUCAGUACAAGCCAGGCAACCCAAAAAGGCUUUGUGUUCUUUAGGAUUUAAAAUGAGAAAGAGAAAUCAAUGUGAAGAAAGAUGGUGUACCAUAUUUAGUAAAGAUAUGAUAUUACAUCCUAGACAGUCAAAAUCUGGAAAAUUGAAACUUAUUUUAACAGUACAACCAUAAUAAAUAUGUAGUACUUGUAAAGCAGGGUGUAUUUACCAUACACCAAAACCUCUGGCAUUUAACUAAGUAUAUAAAUCCAACUAAAUAUGCAUCCCAUAAAAGGAAUGUGACAAGUUAAUUAUCUAUAUAAAUAUGCUUGUAAUUGGUUCCAAGCAUACAAAUUUCUGUAGCCUAAACUGUUCAAUGUGAUGUAAAAGUUUCAUGAAAUUAGAGAAAUCACAAUUUGUAUUCCAUCCCCCAAAACAUGAAUCCAUUUAUUGAUUGAAAAUUGAAUUAGCUUGCUUUUAGAUAAGUUGGAUAUUAUUAAUUGACAUAGCCUACUUUCAUACAAUAAUGAUAGGACAAAUAAGAGAAUGAAACACAAUCCCGACAAUGACUCCAGAAUGUACUGCAGAUUGAGGAAGCUUGCAUUUUGCAUUAUAACCAACAACUUUGAUCAAUUUCUACAUGAUAUAUUAGAGAAUCUAAGCAAUUUCAUAUACUAACUGGCUUUGCAAACAUCUAAUGCAAUCAAAUAUCAGUAAGUUUAUGUAUGAUAGAUCACAAAAAUAUCACUCAGAUUCCCCAAGAAUAAUAAAAAAGAAAAAUUUUCAUUAUUGGUUCAUACCUCCUCAAUGCUUGUACUGUGGUCAGAAGAUAGCUGAACAGCCCUCACUUUUAGGCUACAAAGAUGAAGUUCCCUAGUCUGAUUAAUGUUGCAGACUUGUCCUUUAGGAUUAUGCAUUGGAGAUUCCUCAGAUAUCCUGUCUAGUUCCACAUGAACAAGAGAAUCCCUUGACCUGUUCCAAUGUCUCACAUCUUCUUUUGCAAGAGUUGGGUUCCUAUAGCUAUCAUCUAAUUUAUCUUGUGCCAGAAUAGCACGACUAUCACCGAGGUUCAUGACAUAUACAUCCUGAUCCUUCAUCAACAUCACUAGAACACAUGAACCCAUUAGUGCGAGCUCUGGGUUCUUAUCGAGUGCCUUCUCUACCAUGUCCACAUAAGCCUCCUCCGUGGCUUCUAGUGCUCGUGUCAUAGCCUUAAGCACUGCAUCAUGGUCCACUGGACCCGAUUUGCAUCUUCUGAUAACCACUGAUGAGUUAGCUGUUCUCUCAUCAAGAUUGGAUGGAUCUCUGUGCCAAUAGUAGCUCCAAGGGAAAAGCUUCUUGUGAGAUGAUUUAUGUUUCCUGUACAUUUUUCUCAACUUUGAUCCAAGCAAUGAUAUUCGGAUCAUCUUCUUUUGUCCUAAAGAAGAAAAUGAUGCCACAUACUUCUGCUUCGAGCCUUUGGAAUCAAUCCCAACUGCAGCAUCAUUUUCUCUUAUUAGUCCACCAAGAUCUUCCCCGAGACCUGAACUUUUUCUCUCGAUGCUGGAAGAGCACAAAACAGGUUGCACUGUCGAUGAGGUUUCUCUGCUACAUAAAUCUUCAGUGGCACUAAACUGCAAAUCACAGGAUCUACUGGCGUUACCAGAUGACAAAAAGGACUUGCUGUCGCGGUCUUCCAGCAGUUCCAUUUGCAGAAGCUCAUAAAGGCAUUUGCUUUUUCUAUAUCUGCUUGCUAAUUUGGUUUCUGGUGUGCAAGAUGUUUGGGGUGCACCAAUGUGGCCUUUGGUAUCCGUAUUUUCAUAACCUAUGUCUACAUUGGAGUCAUGAGCAAUUCCACUCUGCUUCUUGUUGAUGUCUUUGUCAACUAUUUCCUCUACAGCUUGAACAGCCCUGCUCGAUUCAUUACCCGAGCCAUUGUCAAUGGUAGACUCGGAUUUGUUACUGCCCAUGUCAGAUGGGAUGAGUACAACUCCUCCCUCACCUUGGUUGCCAAAAGAUUGAUUUCGUGAUUCAUUAUAUUGUGAUUCACCAAACUGCAACUGAGAACUGACACAAUCUUCUUUAACAAUACUGGAACAAGUCUUGGUAGAAUCACUUUCGGUAAGAUCAGAUGUAGCUGCAAUAUGCCCUGAUUUGUCUUCAUAGUCCCACAAAAGUCCCUCUAAUUCUUUAUCUAUAGCUUUGUAAAGGUUACUCAUCAAAAAAUCAGGUGCAUCAGGGCCAUUGAAACCAUCAUAAAUCCCAACAAACAACCAUCCCUGUUCUUCAGAGAGAACAACAUGAACCCUGUCCUCCCCGGCCUUGCCAUGCGCCCAUUGCAAGUUACGGCUACUGCAGUACUCAGGUUCAGAUGUCCCAACGUCCAAACAGGUCGCCAGAGGUUCUGGCUGAUGCCUUGCCUCCUUAGAAUGUGAAACUAGCUGGGUCAUAGGAUGCAAGAGGAACCGCUGCAUCCAACCAGAACCAUGUUGAUGCCUUGUAAAGGUCCUCGAAAGAGCACUUCUCAUGGGUCGACUCAUGCUUCUCAUAAGCCAUCCAAACCUUGCCUUUCUCCGGCCAUAACCAAGUGGAGCUGAGAAGUUGCUUCUAUCAGUUGGAUCAAGGGGACCUGACAUGAAGACACCCUUAUCUAAUGGCCCCGACAUAAGACCUGCCCCUCUUUCCAAAGGCCCUGAGGCAAAUCCUCUCUCCAAGGGCCCUGACAAGAACCCAUUCAAUGGCCCUGAACCACGAGGCACCGGCUGCAGAGGUACGGCGGCGAAUGAGGCUGUGCUCUGAAACGAGGCGGCCGGUUCUUGGGCAUCGCCGGAGACAAGAACAUUAGGGUUGCCGGUUCGAGCAGUGGAGACAUUCGCACUUACGGAGGCCCCUGAUAUCGUCCUAAAGGUGGUCUCAGAAGAACUCUUACUUGGCCUGUGCAGACCUGCGAAAUCCUCUGCUAACUCCUGCCUGAAAGAAGCACUGCGCGUGUCCGAAUCGAGGGUGCUCGAAUCGAGGGUGUACCUCUCGGAGGUGGACGGAGUGAUGGCGGGAGAAUCGAUGAUCACCGGCCUAACAUAGCAGAAGGAGUGGCCCAGCCCUUCAUCCAAGGGCUCAAGGAACUCCAAAUCGACCCCGCCCUUCGCGAACCCCGAGGGCACGAAGCAGCCGACGGCUCGAGAAGUGCCGUUCCCCAUCGCAGCGCAGCACUACAAGAACAUCAGGACGCCGGAGGUGGCAGCCCCAGAUGAUCGCCGGAACGGAGGACUUCCAUGACCCCACACCACGAGCAGGUACAGAAACAACGAGCACAGCGCGGAACCCCGCAGCCGCAAGAACCCAAAGCACCCCUCAACCCUACCACCUCUGCCCUGGCGAGCUUGCAUCAUCAGGCGAACACCUCGGCGGCGAUGGCUUCAAGGCGAUCCAAAUGCUCCCAUACCGAGGAAGCACAGAUCAGCCCCCAGGGGAUACCAUCUACGAGCGCACACACAUCAGGAAACGAGGUAGACUAUGGCAAAAGGAUGCGCCCACAGUAACAGAUCUGAGCACACAGAUGAUAACAAGAACGAGACGAGGGGAGUGAGCAGAGCAAACAGGUCGCUAGUAGCUAAGGAGAUGCAUCACGUGAACAGAAGAAGAGUUGGAUGCGAAGGGAAGGAGCUGCAGAAGAUUUGGCGAGGGGGAAAGGAGGGAGAAUAAGGGCACGAAAGGGUGAUUGAUCGGUGAGGAGGAGAAAUGGGGGCGUCCGAGAGAGAGAGAGAGAGAGAGAGAGAGGAGUUCAAAUGGGAUGGGAGGGUGGUGAAAGGAGACCAAAGAAUGGAGUUCAAUGGCAGGAUCAGAGUGGGCAUUUGGGUCCUCCCAUUUGUCCCAUUUGAUCCUAUUGAAUGAUUGGAUUUGGUGGUGUUUGGAGUCAAAUGCAGAGAAAACUGGAAAUUGCUGCCCCAAUGCCCCUCCAUCAUCACAUCAUCAUGUCACCAUCAUGAUGAUGACCAUGAAAUGGAAUUCAGCAGAUGGCCUCCUGUCCCUUGUUGCACUUCAUCUUCCAAGCCAUAAAUCCCUGGAUCCAAAAUAUAGAAUGAUGAUUUGAUUAUUGCCUUGAUGAUGAAGAAAAUGCAUCUAGAUGAAGUGCAAGAUAGACUGUGUCAAGAUCCACAAUUAAGUCACAGCUUCACUAUUUAUUUAUUGUUAAAGGAGACUAUUGUUGAGGUAAUUGUCAUAUAAAUCACCCAAAUAAGGUUUCAGUAUCCUUCAAGAGUCUCAUAUUUUGAUGUGAUAAAUCAGGCUAAUUCUAUUGAGACAAAUAGGAAAGAAAAGGAAUAAAUCUAACCACAGAUUGCUCAGUAUGCAUGAACAUGCAGUUCCUAUUAUUAUUAUUUUCUGCACAUACACAAACACACACACACACAAAAAAAUCAGGAUGGGUUGCCAAGGCAACCCCACAAAGGAGAAAAUUCUCAGAAGCUGCUGAGCAGAUGGUUGGGGCAGUGAUGUUCACAAGACAUGCUGCAUGAAUGAGACUGAAAACAUGAUCACAUCACCUGAGAAAAGAUAUGCAUGCAUACCUGAAGGAUGAAGGGCUUUGUGCAUUCCAAAGCAUCCAAAUUGUAGACUCAUGACUUGAGGUUCUUGGGGCAUGAAAGCAUUCAGGAUGGACCCACAAAGACCAACACCACAAGAGAAGAACCAAACACCCAGCUCUCAUGUUGACUACAAAUCUUAAAAGACCAUCUAAAUUUCCUCCUACCAAGAAGCAAAUUUCCAAGAAGGUGUGGACAAACCAUAAAGAAUACAAUUAGUACUAAGAAAAAGUAAUUGGAAGUCAGCAUCUCAAGGCCCAAAUCUAAGCAUCUGGUGUUGUUCUUUUGGUGGCUCAACUCAUUACCCUCCAACCAAACCAGCAAUUACAAGCUGUUCUAGGUAUCAUGCCAUUUUAGUCUUUGCCAUGCUUCUCUAUCAUCCUAUAGUUUUCACAAUAAUUGAACCUAGAAACCAAAAAAAAAAAAAAGUGGUUGGCAGUUGACAUAGCAAAUCAAAGUCCAGAGUCAAAGGACCAUUUGGGGUUUCCUGCAAGCAUUACUUUUCUUCAAUAAAAAAACAAUAAACUAUGUGACUCUAUUAGCAAAAGAAAAUUUUGCAGGUAGAUUUUCUUUCCAGGUACCAAAAAGCCUCCCAGUUGCAGGAAUAUAAUGAUAUUUAUGUCCUUUUCUUUCUUCCUAUUGUUUAAUUAGUCAUGUUGUCCUACUCUGCUGCUAAUAAGAUUGAAAUAAAGCUUGAAGGGAUAAUAAAACUGAAAGGCACUCUCAGAUAUUAUAGACAUUUAAAGACUGAGAAACAUAAUUCUGCAGAAAGGAAGAGAGAGAGAGAGAGAGAGAGAGAGAGAGAGAGAGAGAGAGAGAGAGAGNNNNNNNNNNNNNNNNNNNNGAGAGAGAGAGAGAGAGAGAGAGAGAGAGGUG